AAGAUGAGAAGUUGGCCCUGCAAGGACAGAAGCACAACAACAGCAUCUGAUGGUGGAGGUAGAAGCCACUAAGACCAACAGUCAAAUCAAUGGAACACAGACGAUAUGUCCUUGAUGAAGACAUAGGAUGUACCUCCUCCUGUUGCCCUUUGGGGGCAUGAACAGCUCUUCAACUGCAGCCAGCACUCCUUAUCAACCAUGCAUGGAGGCCAUGAUUGAAGAACAUCUAAGGAACAUGAACAGUAUGGUUUGGGGUUGAAAAGGGCCCAUAGUUGAUGCUGUGGCAGCCAUGCAAAUGCAUGGAAAGCAGCUGUGAGGAUGAAGAUUGUACAAAGCUGGAUUUCAACAGCUAAGCAGCAGCCAAUUAGAGAGGAACUCUCAUCAUCUUGACAUAUCAUCCCAAGAACAACCUAACAAAAAGGGCCCUCAAUUCCAGAUCACUGAUGUUGAUAUGCUAAUAAUCCUCACUCACUGUUCUUCUUCUCAUUAUGGGAGAUGAUUAGAUGAACUGUCAUCAAUCCCCCCCAUUCUUUGCCUUUCCUUUGCUUUCUUUUGUUUAUUGUUCACAGAGAAUUGCUCUCAGUGCCAUGUAGUGAUGUAUAAACAUCACUGUUUCAAGAAUUAUUGAUAGAGUUCCUAUGCAACAGCAUCACUAUUAUCACCACUAUAUCAAGAAAUCCAUAAUGGACGAGCUGAGUACCAAACAUUAAUCCAAUGAAGGACAAUUGACCAGUGAAAAGAGGACAGCAUAUAUAUAAACAAGGAUAGUGACAUAAAUCAAUUUCAUACAUGAAAUAUGUUAUGCAAGUUAGAAUUAAGUAUUUGAAGGCGAAAAGGAUUUGACUUUUGAAUAUAAGAUUGGAAAUCAAAUAAUUAAUGACUGUGUUCUAUUAUUGAUAUGUAGAUUGUACAGUGCACAAGCUUCUGGUCAAUCACGUCUGGAACGAUAUCAGUCGAUCGUACGAUUUAGAUUGGAUCACAAUUGAUAGAUGUAAUCGAUUGAAUGGUGACAUAAAGUGCGAGAGAUCUCUGCAACAAUGGAAUUGUGUAUAUAUAUGCGAACACCUCAGGCCUAACCCUUCCCAGCAUACUCCUCCAUCCUUCUCUCCUUCUGAGCCGCUUAUGAUCCUCUAGUGGGAAGUUAGAUCUCACUCCGACCACUGCCGUAAUCCAUGUUCUUGUUAUCUGAAGCUCUUUAGAUGUCGGAACAGCUUCAAAGAUCAUAAUCUCUUGACAGAUUGCUGCAAUCUUUCCCUUAGAUAUGAUGACCAGUACUCUCUCUCUCUCUCUCUCUCUCUCUCUCUGUGCUUCUGGCUUAUGAUCUCUCUUCACCUGUCUCCAAGCUCCGACAGCUGGUAUCUCUCUUGCUCAGAGAGAGGGGCUAUGCAUGGAAUGGAUCUUGGCAGUACUUGCUGCAAUGACUUGUGUCUUCUUGUUGUUUCUAUUUCAUGCCUGUGAUCAGCAUCUUUGGAUGGCUUUCUUCUCCCUUCAGCAUUAAGCCGUCGUAAAAAAUACCAUCCUCCUUUUCUUUUUGCAUGGAGAUCAGUCGGUGCUUUCGGGUGUGGCAUCAUCAAGAUUCACAUGGACAAGCCAGUUGUUGUGAUUAAUGAGAAUCUUGAUGAUGCUGCAUCAGCAAACACGCGGCUUCCGCGCUCUUUUCUCGAUCUUUAAGGUAAGUUUUUCGUGCAUUUUUCCUCUAAAUGUUUCAUAUUUUCAGGUCACAAAAGAAGUCUUCCUUUCUAGUCUCUUUUUCUUGAAUGUUUUUGAAGCUUAAUAUGCUGUUAAAGAAGUAGGCUUUUCAUCUACCACAUGAUUUCUUUGUCUUUUGAUGAAUAUAGAUGCCCACUCUAUUGAUUUCUCAUUUCAUCUUUGUUCAUUAGAUGUCUUCUUCUUUCUUCUAUUCUUGAUGGACAGGAACAAGAACAUUAUAGAGAUAUAUAUUGCUUUCAGGAGGUAAUAUUUCUCUGUUGUUCACAUCAUCUUGCAUAAGUUCCACAGCAGUUUCUUGAAAUCUUAUUUGCAGCUCUUUCAAGUUAAUAUAUUUAGUUGCAUUUGAUUUUUUUUUUUAAGAUUGUACUAUUAACCAUUGGCUCCUUUCCUUCUUUUCUUUUUGAUAGAAAAAAAAUGGAAAUAUUAUGUAUUUGCAUUUAUGCAAUGUAAAUAUCCUUAUUUUCAGGUAAAGCUUCCCUUUGUUUCUAUUGGUGUAUUGUCAAUGCUAAUAGUCAUCUCCAUUUUUGUGGGUCUUCCUACAGUGAAGUUAUUGUUCUCUUCUACAUAACUAGCAAUAGGAAUCCCUCAGAUUAGAAGAUAGUUGUACCCAAAUUUAAGAACAGAAGAAAUUAAGUAGUGUUCUGCCGAGUUCAUGCUGUUGCCAUCUUUCAACAUACAGGAAGUAUCAGAAAUAACAGCUGAGUAGAUGCUAGGACAAACUAGUGAUGAACAGGCAUUCAGAUCCUUUAGGGUUACUUGCAAUAAAUGUAACUCUGUGCAUGACAAUGCUUAUCCAUGGAACAAAGCAGUUUAAAGGUUGGUGCAGAUUUUGGUCAGCUUUCUGACCAUUCAUCUGUUUCCUUCCAUCCUUCUUGCUGUAACUAAGAUUAAGAAUACAUAUUAUGGGAAAACCUGUUAACUUUACAGGCAUUCAGGAACAGCAUGCAUGGAUUCUUUUCAUCUGUCUUGUUCCUGAUCAUUCUCCCACACUGGCAGAAGGAUUACCAUUGAGAUAUGUGACUGAGCUUGGAUGAAAAGGGAACAGGAAAUGCUAAAAGGCAAGUUGUAUUAGCCAUUGAAGCUGAUCACUGGUAACACCACCACUCACACAGGUGGACCUAACAAAAGGUACAAUGUUGAUCAUAAUGUGCAGUGGGCCAACCUCCAUUGACAUGAUUUCAGAGUGUCUGAACAAUGCAGUCUGACCUUCUCUCCUAUAUCACUAAUAAAUAAUCUUGCAGGUUCUUGACCUUUAUCACACUUCUCUUAGCAUUUAACAUCACCACCAUAGAAAUUGGAUGACUGCAAGUGCAACUCUCUCUCUCUCUCUCUCUCUCUCUCUCUGUGAAGUACAUAUGCAAGCUGGCAUAGAGUUAGUCUAAAGUAAAAAGUGAUAUUUUGAGACUUGCAUGAUGUGCAGGGAUUAAUGGAAGUAAGUUCUGGGCAAUGCCAGAUUGAUGCAAUUGUGUAAAGCCAACAGUAUGGAUGGAGCUUUGGUAGAAUAGUCUCUUUCAAUUGAUACCAUGAUGCAAAUCCAAAAAACCUUCUUUGAUAUGAUGGAAUCAGGAGAUAUGAUUCCUUUUUGUGAUGAAUAAUUGUAAAGAUAUUUGUCUCAUGCAUCUUUUCUCUUCUUUAAUUGUCUUUUUGUUCUUUUUUGGUGUCUUCUUUAGCUGUUCACUACAUUACUAUUGUCAUUAUUAUUAACAUUAGUGUAUAUAAGUUUAAUAUAUGUAUAUGCACAGAAAUUAAAACUUGCAAACAUCUUUAUAAUUAAUCUUCCCUAACAAACUCUCUACUCUCAUUGACAAUCAUAAUUAUAUUUCUCCAAAAUUAAGUAUUUUGGUACUUAUCCAUUUAAAUUUAACUUUAGAAAAUAAGAAGAUAAAUAGUUUAUGAAAGUGAUAAGGGUGUUUUGGAUAUCAAACAUUUUUAUUUUUUUCAAGCAAAUUAAUAUGUAUGUAUGUAUGUAUGUAUGUAUGUAUGUAUGUAUGUAUGUAUGUAUAUGCUAUAUUUAAAUAUUUAGAGGAAUAUACAAGCUAUUUUUAAGUUUGGAGGGGGGAAAUGCAUAAAUAGAAUUCUGUAUAUAUCCUUACAAAUUCAAUGUAGUUAUAUUUCUAUUAUUUUUAUAAUGAUAAGUGGUGAUGAUGGAAUUCAAUUUGAAGAAUUUAUCAUCAAAUAUAAAUAUUUUUAUUAGAUAACAUACCUAGUAUUUCUUUUUGUACAACUUUAUGGCUUGCCAACAUUCAUGAGAGAGCUCUACUAAUAAUGGUUUUUAUGCUCAUCCACCUCUAAAAGUGAUUUAAUACCAUGUUCUAGAACUAUUUUUUAUUUAUAUGAUAUUUAAUUUAAAGGUUUUUUUAUGAAUUAUCAAAAUCUUCAUCAAUUUUACAUGAUGUCUGAAAUAAAUUUUAUGACACACAAACUUCUUUUUCUUCGCGAAUAAAUCAAAUUUGUUUUAAAAGAAUGACCAUCUUAUAUGAAAUUUAAUCCCAUAAUUCAAUAACAUUUUCAUAUUGUAUGGAAUUCAUUACAACCAAAAUUUCCAAUUAAGCUCAUUUUUAAUUUUAAUUUAUAUUCCAAAGUAUAUUAUGAGCAUCAUAUGGUUUAUGGAAAUCGUGCUAUCAUGAUACAAAAUCAUUCUCAUUUAUGUGAAAAUAGUAUUGAAUCUCGGAUUUUGAUAUCAAUCAUCAAAAUCUUUGUUAGUUCAUCUUCCUCCAUACCGAAAUUAAUUAUAUUGCUCCUACCAAGCUUUUGUUGGAAAAAAAAAAAUCAAAAUGUCAUAGCUCACAUUUUUCAGUGAUAUCAUGUGAUUCACUUAUGCUCAUUAUUUUUGGUGGAAUCUAAUUUUAAGACAUUCUUGUCAAAUAUCAAAAUUCAAAACUAACUUCAUGUCUUGGUUCAAUUACAAGAGAAGUAUAAUUCACUAAACUUGUUUUCAUCCAUCUUUAGAAGUGUAUUAGUAUGAUAUAAUUUUAUUCACAAGAGUCAGUGUUCAUCCACCUUUGGAAAUAAUUUUAUUCCAUGACCUAAAAAUAUUGUUAUGUGGAAAUUGAUUAGCACAUUUAGGAAGUAGAGAAAUUAAUGCCUCUUAUUUAAGAGUUAUAUGUACCCUCAAAAUCAUCAUUUAAGGUUUAAAGGGAUAAACUUUUAUGAACCCACUGAUAAUUUGAUGACAAUAAAUAAUAACUUGUUAGAUAACAUUAAUUAUAUGACAUAAAAUAUAUCAUUUUUUUUAUACAUCAAUUAUGUGAGAACCCAUCUAAAUAAUUUCUUGUGAAUCUCAUUUUCGAAUACAAAUAAUGACUUAUAAAAAUUCAGUAGUAAAAUUUUUACGAUUAAAACAUUAAAAUAUUAAUCGAUCGUUUUAUAAAAACAUUACUAUAUGUUAAAAUAAAUCAAUCAUCAGUAUUCAUCUUCAUCCAUCAUUAGUGAUUGAAUAUCAUAGUCUAAAAAUAUUCAUAUUUUUUUGAAAUUUAAUUAUAAUAUAUUGCUUACAAAUAUUAUAUAAUUUAAAUAAUUUUUUAUGACAUCUUAAUUCAUAUCAAAAUAAAUCAUUACCACCAUCCUCGUCACCACCUGUGUGAUUCAAGCAUUUCUCACUCGACGUAACAUGUGGCCCCACCGGUGACCUCAUCCAAGUGUAGAUUUUGGGUACGUGUUAAUUUUAAGUGGUGACACUCGGACAACCCACCUGAAACCGGACGGUACUGAGACACCAAAUCCUCAACCCCAAUUUUGAGCGACCGUCUCAAGCCCCACAAAAAUCCGAAGAAAGGUCCGCCCGUAUGUGGAUCCUUUCCAAGCCUCACGUUCUUUGAAUGGGAUCGAUGCCACCUCCCGUGACCGAAGAUGGAGAUCAAACCCAUAGAUGAACGGUCACGAUGUAGAAGCACAUUUCGGUUACGGAUUUAUUUGGACGGGAUCGGCAUCCUCCACUGCCUUGCUUCCUUCGCACGAUUCCUCGCGCUGUCUUCUUCCCCGCUUCUCCCGCAAACCCUCGCGUUCUCCAACUCCCCACCAUGUGAAGAAGACGAAGCGGAAGAAGGAUCCGAAGGCUGAUGCUUCUUCGAGGGAUCCCUCGUUCCGAUCGUUCUAACCUCCGAUUCCUCUUUCGAUCUCCGAUCGAUGCACGGCGUCGCCGCCUCGUGUUCCACUCCCCAGCCGCCGCCCCCUGCGGCCUCCCUCCUUGCGCCAGGGUUUCGGUUCCACCCCACCGAUGAGGAACUCGUCGGUUAUUACCUCAAGCGCAAGGUCAGCGGCCGACCCCUCCGCAUUGACGUCAUCGCUGAGGUUGAUCUGUGCAAGUGCGAGCCGUGGGAGCUGCCCGGCCGCUCCCGCCUCCAGAGCCGCGACCUGGAGUGGUACUUCUUCUGCCCCGUCGACCGCAAGUACCCGAACCGGUCCCGUACCAACCGCGCCACCGCCCGGGGAUACUGGAAGACCACCGGCAAGGACCGCCCCGUCCACCGCCGCGGCCGCGUCGUCGGCAUGAAGAAGACUCUCGUGUUCCACGAUGGCCGCGCCCCCCAUGGCGCCAGGACCAACUGGGUCAUGCACGAAUACCGCCUUGAGGACGACGAGCUCACCCAUUCUGGGAUUCCACAGGUAGAUGUUGAUCCUUUCUGAUUCCUCGUGCUGUUAUAACGCGAAAUUGGUUGGAACUGAUUUCUUGGGAUCGGGGAUGGAGAAGGAUGCGUAUGUUGUGUGCAGGAUCUUCCAGAAAAGCGGUGCGGGUCCUAGGAAUGGGGCUCAAUACGGUGCGCCAUUUAUCGAGGAGGAAUGGGAGGAGGAGGAUGAGAAGGCUGCUGAUGGAUUGUCUGCGACUCCGUUUGGCGGGGAUGCUGAGAUCAAUGAGGCCCUUAAUUCUGAGUUCAUGGAAAUCAAUGAUCUUCUUCAGGUAAGAAUAUCCAUCAUGAUGUUCUUUGGCACGCUUGUUGUGUUACCUUGUAGACAUUUCUUUAAUUGAUUUCGUUCUUUAGUCAUUUGUGCUGGUAAAGCUUUCAUAAGAUUCUUAAACAUGGAGCUACUACAUAGCAAUGUUUAGGAAAUCACAGUGUUAGCAUUAUGAAGAUGUCAGAAAGGAUAAAUUGCAAGCACAAAGUGUUAAAUGAUUAGACAAUCUAAAUUCUAAAAGCUAAUAUGUGAUAUUCGUGGUUUGACCGACCAAGAACAUGUGUCGAGUGAAGUAUAAUAUGCCAAUGCUGCCUUUAAUGGUGAGUUGCAUAAUUAGAGUUAGGUUUAUACCAGUGCAGAAGUAUUUGUAAUGGUUUGCAGCCAAAUAGCUCCUGCCUGCUGAUACAAUUGUACACUGAGAGUCUCAGAGUUUGCUGCAAGGAGAACAAUUUAAAAUCUUGUAUGGCUUCCCUUUUCUUCUAAUUAUUAGAAAUAUUCUGAAUAUGAGUACGGAUGUUCUCUAAAUUUGCAUUUAAUUAUUGUUUGUCUCCUGCCUUUCUUUUUAAUUUUCAGAAGAAUUUAAGAUGAUUAUAAAGAUGGUUUGUAGUUCAUAAGCCAACUGUAAAUUGUGGAUCGUGGUGCUUUAGAAAAUGUUCUAAGAUCGGGAACUUCCUAUGAGCAUGUCAUGUUUCGAAAGAAAGAAAAAACAACUUUAAAUUGGAUUACCAAUCCCUUCGGUUGAUGCCAAUCUUAUCAUUAUUGGCCGAUCCCAAUUCUGAUUUUGUAGCCUAUGGUCUGUAUCUGUUGGGUCAUUAUAUGUUUGAACAUUUAAUUAUUUUGUUACCUUCAUUCCCUUUACAGUAUAAAUAUAAAUUUGUUUGUUUAUCUAUUCUAAUGGGGACACUCAUGAUUGUGAAUCUGCUUUAUCUUUUUUUAUCAUUUUUCGUGAUUUUAAUUCUAUGUAUAUCUAUGGAGUUCAGAGCAAACAUAUGGGUCACCAAAAUGGGAGAGCUGCCCUCUGUCUGGAGGAUACUGAUGGACAGGGUAGUGAUAGCCACCCAGUAGAUCCUAUCCAUAUCCUUGAUGUUUUCCCAGAAGAGAUACGUAAUGAUCAAAAUUUGACAGACAAGGUGUUAGAUUGUAUCUAUGAACCUAAUUUACAGAGUAGUCGAACCCUCACGGGUGGUUCUGGAGAGCAAAUUAUCUUGAAUGAUAUUGCUUAUAGUUAUCCUGUACAACUUGAAGAAUUUGUGCAGCUUAACGACCUUGAGGAUGAUUCUGUGAACAUCAGUUACCCCGUUGGUGAAGGAUUUGUCAGUUGUCCUUUGUUGGAAUGCCAUGCAAGUUUUGUAAAUAGAGUACAUUAUGGACUUGAAGAUGAUGAGUUCUUUGACGCCAUAAUUCAAAGCGCUGAACCAGUGGUGGAUAACUUCAAUCUGCAAGCAACUGAUCCUCUGAAUACUCUAUCUGGUGAUUAUGCAUCAUAUCAAGAUGCCCAAGACAUGGUUUUCCAUGAUGCAUCUAGUGAAUUUCUGGCAAAUGGACAUGAUAAUUCCGUAUAUCAGAAUGAACUUCUAUAUUCGUCCAUUGCAGGUCCUCACAGUUCUAAUUUUGAUGCUGAGGUAAUGGCAUACUUUGAUGCAUUGGAUGAUGGCUUAGAGAAUGAUAUUUUCAGUUCCUUUGAAAUCUUGGAACAUAAAGAUUCAUCUGCUUCGAGCCAGUUUAUCUCAGAGGUACGCAUUUGUCUCUUAGAAGUUGGUUUAUAGACAAGUAAUUUACAAGCCGAUUAAUGUAGAAGUGGAGAUUAAUUUGUGCUAUUUGAUAACAGGUUGAUGGUGGUGAUGGUACCACAAAUAUGGCAAUUCCGGAGCUGCUGUACACUAAUGUUGGGGGUAAUUUAUUGCCAGCUUUACCUCUAACUGAUAAUCAGUUCGUCAACGAGUACGAGAACAUUCCUGUUGCGCCAGGUACGGAUGUUUUUCUGCUGGGCAACCUACCAUCUUUAGGAGGAAAUACCUGACGGUUAACUAAACCGGAAAUAUUAUUGGCUAAACUUUAGUUGCCCAAGGUUGCCUGGUUCAGCAUCUGGUUUCCUCCUGAUUGCUGAAAGUUCCAAAAUUUUCUUGUCUCAUUGUGUUAUUUUCUAAUAAUUCUUCGUAAUAUGUGGGGUUUAGUUUUGAGUGUUACUAGCGGCUGCAAGUGCCACUCGAACUACUAGAGUCAAUACUCAAAACCUAAUUUCUUAUUCAAUGCUGGCUCUGCAGCAAGCUUUUGAUAAAACAUAAUGUCAAAAUGUAAACUUGGCCUUCUUUCGGUACAGAUAUCAAACAGAACGUCAAUGGCAAGAGAAAAAUCACAAGUCAUCUGGUGAACAUGCUGGGCUCAAUAUCUGCACCCCCAGCAUUUGCUGCAGAAUAUCCUGCUAGUUUAGAAAGUACUCAUGUCACAGUCGGCAUGGUCGAUGUACAUGGCUUAUCAGCUACAAGCAGCACAGGACACUGCUCCUUGCAAAAGAAUGGAAACGGGGAUCUUCUCCUUUCAUACAGCAUCGCAGAAAAUCUAGGUAGGAAAAAAUCUUCAGGUUUUCAACCAUUUAGGAAAAUUCAGGACUGGACCGUAUCAUUCUUGCUUCGAGGUGGCUGCUAUCCUUUCUUCCUCUCGGCACUGGUUCUUACUAUUAGCUACAAAGUUGGUAUGUGUAUUUACGGCAAGUAAUUUAGGUUUAUGUACGCUGUAAUAUUACUGUUUGACUGCAGAAACAUAUUUUUGGAACUCAAAGGGGGGGACAGCCUCAUAUGUAGGGACAAAUGCACUGCAUGACAAACUCUGAUUUCUAGCUGUCGUAAGUGUCAGGAUCUAUUUGCAAUCCAUGCAAUUCCUGCAAAAAAUGAUCUGAAACUUUGUGUUUCUGUGUUCGAUUUCUGUUUGUAGCAUUAGCAAAUUUACCAUUGUGUUUAUCUCAUUGCAUUUUUGAAAGGAAAUAGUUUAUCGGACUGUUGUUAGAUGCUGUUGUUGAACCAAAUGAGUGUGAGAUAGGCUGAUGACUCGAAAGGCAUUUGAAUCUGUGUUCGUAGUGCUUCUCAUCCACAGGUUGGAACGGCCACAAUUUUCACUUCGAUUAAUUCUUGUUUCAAAUGGUGAAAUGCUCAUCUACAGGUGGUCCUGACCAAACGGUUCGAUUCAAGGUUUGCAUUGUCGAUUAUAAACGUUUGCAUCAUCAAUUAUACCUCGAUUGGCCCAAUUCAAGGUUUGCAUUGUCAAUUAUCCAACUUGUGGCAAUCUACGAUCGAAUAGGUAUGAGUUGGUAUUUCAAAUGCUUCAAGUUUCAAUAUAAUAAAUUUCAAGUUUAAUCUAACUAAAUUUUAACAAAAUAAUUUAUAUCUUAAGAUAAUUAUAAAAAUUUAAAACCAUCAGAGUACGAUGCAUUAUGAAUUUAAUAUGUAUUAUAAUUUGUGUAGAUGAUUGAAGGAUUGAAUAUGCAUUAUUUGUGCAGAUGAUUGAAGGAUUGAAUAUGCAUUAUUAUAAUUUAUGAAAAGAAGAAAAAUUAAUAUGUAUUAUAAUUUGUGCAGAUGAUUGAAGGAUUGAAUAUGCAUUAUUAUAAUUUGUGCAUAUGAUUGAAGGAUUGAAUGUACUUUACAUCUAUAGGAAAAGAAGAAAGAUUAAUGAAAAUUCUUAUUUUUGAAACCUCAGAAAGAUAAAAUUAAUUGCUAUAAGACUUCGAGGUUAUACUUAGACAAAGUUAAAUGCACUUUCAGAAAAGGAAGAUGAAGAUUUCAAUCGACUUCAACCUGUACCAGAAGAUACUUAAAUGUCGAAAGAUAAAAUUAAUUGCUAUAAGACUUCGAGGUUAUACUUCAAUCUAUUCAAUCUAGUGAGACAAAGUUUAAAGAGAUGCACCUUCAAAAAAGGAAAAUGAAAUCUCGGCUCCGUGAGAAUUUUUUCUAUUUGGUAAUAUUCAAACUCUUUUUUCAUAAUUUAACAAUCUUUAGCAUGGUAGCAAAGUCAUGAUCAACUAUAUUGAAGAAUUCUAUAUGCCGAUAGCCUGAAAUAAUAUUCAAGAGAUAAAAGAAUAACUUAUUGUAAGAUAUAUCGGUGGCCUACGAAUUAUAAUUCGAGAUGAAGUGGAGAUAUAAUAACUAUGAAGGUUAUUUGAUGCUUAUCAAUUAGCACUAAAUGUUGAAGCAAAACUUACUAGAAGGAGAGCAAAGAGAUAUUCUAAUCUCUUUACUAGUGAAUCAAAGGCUAGUAGAAUAAUGAAAAAUGCAUCUCCUACUUGCUUUAAAUGUAAACAAAUAAGACAUUACAUGAAUGAGUGCCCAAAUAGACAAGCUGAUGCACGAGCCACCUCUACGAAGGAGAUGACAAUGAAAAACUUGAAGAUAUUAAAAAACUAAUAUAUGAUCAAUAUCAUGAGGAGGCUUAUGAAGAAAUUAUACCUAAAGAAGGUGAAUGCUUGGUAAUACAUAAAGCGCUUACUACUCCAUGAGAUGAUUGCAAUGAAGAAUGAUUACUAAAUAAUAUUUUCAAUAUAUGUUAUAAGCCUCUAUACAAAAUUUAUUAUAUUAUAUUAAUAAUCACAAUUGUAAAAAUAUUGUAUCUCAAGAUAUGAUAGAUAAGCUCAAGCUCAAUAUAGAACCAUAUCCUAAACCAUAUCGGAUUGUAUGGUUCAUGAAAGAUAAUAGGGUAUCAGUAACUAAUCGAUGCAGUAUUGAGAAGACCACAACAAUACGAUAGGCAUGCUAUCCAUGAUAGUAGAAAGAAUACCUAUAUUUUUAAAUUCAAUGAAGUUAGAAUUGUGCUUUUGUCAUAUAAAGAAGAGCUUGCUCCUAAACCUUUAACCCAAAAGCAGGAAAAUAACUUCUUUACUCUAAAUAAGUUUUAAGAGAAACUAAAAAAAGUCGAGUUAUAUUUAUAUUAGCUACUAAAGAAUUUAUAUAGCCUAUAAAAAAUGAUGAAGUAGAAGCUAUUUGGAAGAAAUUCAUAGACAUCUACUCUAAAGAACUUCCUAGUGGCUUGCCUCCUCGAGACAUUCAAUAUUGAAUCAAUCUAAUUCUAAGAGCAAUUUUGCUAAACAAAUUUUAUUCUCAGAUAAGUCCAAAAGAACAUAAAAAAUUGAAUAGACAAGUUAUGGAUCUACUACACAAAGGUUAUAUUGACUACGUAUCAUUCUAGCUCUAUUGACUCCAAAGAAGGAUAGAACGUAGUAGAUGUGCAUCGAUAGUCAUUACUAUUAAUCGGAUUACCAUCAAGUAUAUAUUUUCUUUUCCAUAUGUCGAGGAUUUUUUUGAUAUGCUUACUAGUGCUCAAAUUUUCUUUAGAAUUGAUCUUCGAGGUUAUCACUAAAUCCGUAUUAAACCAGGAGAUGAAUAAAAAACUAUUUUCAAGACUCAAGAAGGUUUAUAUGAAUGACUAGUUAUACUAUUUGGACUUCCAAAUACUCCGAGCACCUUUAUGCGACUAAUAAAUCAAAUUCUAUUUUCUUAGACUAGGAAGUAGGAAGUUUGUUGUUGUUUACUUUGAUGAUAUUCUUAUUUAUAGUCAUAAAAAACUUGAUCAUAUUAAAUUUUUGAGAACUAUUCUAUCAAUAUUCAAGGCAAAAAAGAUAUAUAAAUGUUAAGAAGUAUUCUUUCAUGACAACUAACUUAGCUUUUCUACGCUUAAUCAUAAGCCCUACAGUAUCCAAGUGGAUUUUGAGAAGAUUAAUGCUAUCUAGACUUGGUCAACAUGAACAUCCCUAUAGACUUGGUCAACAUGAACAUUUUAUCGUCGAUUUGUUCAUAAUUUUAACACUAUUGUAGCUUCUCUAAUUGAUUGUAUAAAGAAAAAAAGUAUUUCAAUGAACAUAUAAGAUAAAUAACAGUUUUGAACUAUUAAAGGUAAAAUUAUCCAUUGCUCUUAUUUUUAUAUUAUCAGAUUUUUUUAAAUAUUUAAAGUUGAUUGUGUUGUCUCUCACGUGGGUAUUGGUGGAGUAUUUAGCCAAGAAAGAUAUCCACUUGUAUUCUUUGGUGAAAAGCAUAAUAAUAUAAGAAAGAACUAUUCAACCUAUAAUAUUAAAUCUUAUGCUAUUAUUUAACUAUUCAACUUAUUUGAUUGAAAGAGAAUUUGUCUUAAAUUUGAAGCUUUUAAAGAUAUAAAUUAUCAAGCAAAUAUCAAUAAACAACAUGCAAGAUGGGUGAUAUUUUUACUAAGGAUGGAAUGUGUAAUAAGGUUACAAAUGGACUCAAUUGAUGAUUAGCGCUUGUAUUAAGUGAGCUCAACUAAAUGAAUUUGAUGAAAUGAGAAAUACUUAUUCUAAUGACGAAGAUUUUAAAUAAAUAUAAAAAUUAUGCACGAAUAGUCAUCAUGAAGAUUUUGUUAGAGAUGAUUUUCCCUUUCGUGGAACUCGACUUUGUAUUCCUAAAUAUUCUCUAAGAGAGCAUAUUAUUAAAGAAUCGUACUUUAAUGGAUUAUGAGGUCAUUUUUUAGAGAUAAAAUAGAAUUUCUCAUUAAAAUAAAAUAUUUUGGUCAAUAAUAUACCGAGAUGUUACAUAUUAUGUGAAAAGAUGUAAAAUAUACUAAACUUCAAAAUGGCAAAUUUAGGAUCUUGGUGCAUAUAAUCUUUUACUCUAUGGGAAGACAUUAGUAUAGAUUUUAUGAUUAGUCUACCAAUAACACAUUUCAUUAUUAGUCUUUUUUAUAUUGCUAACAUUUAUUUGAAUGAAGUGACCAAACUUUAUGGAAGUCCUAAAUCUAUGGUAUCAAAUAGAGAUACUAAAUUUCUUAGUUAUUUUUUGAAAAGUUUAUGGAGAAAAUUUGGCACUGGCCUAUUAUAUAGUAAUACUUAUAUGAAGAAAUUGACGUUGUUAAUAGAACCUUGGGUAAUCUACUUUGAUGCUUUACCGCAAAAAGGUCAAAACAGAGAUCUCAUGUUACCUCAUGCCCAAUUUGCUUAUAACUCUACGGUUAAUUGUUUCUAAUGGGUAAGAGUCUAUUUGGGAUUGUUUAUGAUUGUGUUUCACCUCAUUAUCUAGAUUUUGUUAAAGUAUUUGAAUUAUCUUUUCAAAGUUGGAGAUGAUUUUACUAUUACUAUGACAAAAAUUCAUUAAAAAAAGUAAAAAAGAAGCUUGAAGCUAGUAAACAAGCUUUAAAAAAAAAAGCCCAACAAACAUCGAAGCGUAAUGAUCAUUGAAGGAGGAGAUCUUGUUUGGGUAUUUUUGAAAAAAAAUAUUUCAUAGUAGGAACUUACAAUACACUCAAAGAGAAAAAAAAAAUUGAUCUCUCUUGAGUUCUCAAGAGAAUUAAUGACAAUACUUACAGGAUUGAACUUCCUCCUAAUAUUAGUACUCACUUCAUUUUUAACAUUCAAGAUUUAUUAGUUUACCAUGGUAAUAUUAACGAUAACUCAUGGGUGAGUUCUUUCUCACCUGGGAGAAUGAUGUAGUACAUAGUGAGCUUUGAAUGCUCCCAAAUUCUAAGAUAAUAAAUUUCAAGUCCAAUUCUAUCCGAUUUUAAGAAAAUAAUUCGAAAUAAUUAUACAAAUUUAAAAUAAUCAAAGAACAAUACAUUAUGAAUUUAAUAUGUUUUAUGUUUUAUGCUUGACUUUCAAUCAUUCAACGUCCAAGGAUCUAUAAAUGGGAAAGGAAUAAAGAUUGAUGGAGAUUUUUAUUUUUAAAAUCUUAUUAAACUUUUACAUUUGAAAUUAUUAAUUCAUAGUUAUCUCUUUAGAGAGAAAAAAAUUCUCAUUUAUUCUUUCAUAUUUUAUUUCUUUUUACCGCUCUCUUCUUCUCUCCUCGCCUUGUUUGACAUCAUAUGUACACAUGAAAGUGAACAAGAAUGCCUACAUUACAACCCAAGAACCAAUAAAUAACCGAUUUAGCAAACCUAGGUUUAAUUCACUGUUAAACUGUUUCAAUCUUGAAUACCAUGUCUGCUUCCGUCACCAUAUUUUUAUAAUAUUAUUCAUAUAUUUUAAAUUCUUAGUAUAAUACAUAUAAUUAUAUCUUAUUUUUGAAUAAAAAAAUUAUUAAAUAUAGUACGUUGACCAUCCGGUCAAACCAAUACCUGAUCCCAAAACUCGUGCGGUUCGCUGUCAGGUGCAAUUCCGACGUCUACGAUUUGAGCUUCCCCCUUGCAAACCGUGACAUGGUCUCCACGUCCACCAAUAUGGUCAGCGCUUUCGGAUACCUAAAAUAAAAUGCAGCCAUAACAUGAAGAUGCAAUUUAAGCAUAAAUCACAUGAUCAUCCUUCCGCUGGUCAGGUAUCAGUUUGCAGCCUUACAGAAAAUGCAGGAAAUCUGUUGAAAACAUUACUGCUCAACAAAAUGUGGCUCGGAUUGAAUAAUCUGAAUUUGAUACAGGUCACCUCGCUAGGAUUAUUAUGCCUCUCUCUUCCAUGUGAACCCCCAUCUGUUCUUCUGCAACUUCACUGUAAUAUACAUCAUAAGUAAUGGGUUUCAUGUGGAGGAUAUCUAAGCUGUGAGCUGAAAAAGAUCUGAAGGAGAAUUCGGUAGCCUUCUAACUUCAGUUGGUUUAUUAAGUCUGAUGUCUGAAAACAAAAGUAUCAUUGAUCUGAUAAAAAUUUACUUACUCUUUGAAGGAUGGGCUUUCCUCCCUGUCUCCGGUGCGAUUGAAGGUGCUAAUUUGCAUAAACAUUCAAUCUCACUACGGCAGAGACUUCCGGAUGAAGCUUGAGCUCAGCUAUGUAUUCCCCCGUCUCACGGAUCUCAGGAAGAGUGACGAUUCUUUUGUCAACAUCCCUGAUGAAACAAAUACGAAAUAAUCCAAUAUGAAAGAGUAAUAAAUAAUAUAUGCCAGUUUCCACUGCGAUUAUUUUUUAAUUUAGACAUACCGGUUUAGUUGUGCCUUUAUGAUGUCCACAAGGUCUUGGGCAGUAACACUAGCAAAAACAAUUGAUGAUGUCAAAAUGCAGACAAAAUCUUAUAAUGCCUGAAAUUAUUGGUGUUGGAUUAUAGUAGUACAACUCACGUUCCAAAUAUUUGUUUUCCUUUUCCACCUUUGCGUUUCACCUUGAAUGCUCCAACUGUCUGGAAAAUCAGCGCAAGCUGUUGUGCUUCUUCUUUCACCUGGUUAAUAAACCAAUAUACGAAACACAAAGCAACUUUCAACAUAUUUACUUCACAUGUUACGAAAACUUGAAGACUAAACAAUGAUACUAAGAGAAACAAAAGGGGAAGCAAGCAAAACCUUCCAGAAACAAGAUGGAACAAACGACAACACCUGCAUAACUAAACAUGAAAAGCAAACAAGAAGCUUAUGGCUCUGAAAAAAUAUAACUGAACAUCAAUAAACAUGAAAACCGUAAGAACUGUCGAUGAUUUUUAGUGCUCUGAAAAAUGCAACCACCUAAGUGAAAAUUGUAGAAAGGAGUGACUAGUAAUGGCAACAGUAACUGAAAAUUAGCUGAAGUCAUCCCACAACCAUAAGUCUAAAAUUUUAAAAUGUCUAUGAAUAUGAUUAUGAACCUAAAUACUCAUCUUGCAGCUGCUGUAGUUUACAUCUUGAAUAUAGUUCUCCUGUAUGAUUCGUAGCCAAGUAAAUGUUUUAGAACGUUGCUAAUAACAGAAACAAUAAGGGCAGACCUGGUACAAUGGUAAUGUUGUUAUUUUACAACGACCAGGAUUUGAGUUAUAAAAAAUAAUCUCUUUAAUUAUUUAAAGGUAAAACUGCACACAUUGAUCCUUCCCGGACCUUGCUUUAGAGAGAGUCUCGUGCAAUAGAUAUGUCUUUCGUUUUUAUAUUUGCUAAUACCACAAAGAAAAAUCAAAGGAUUACACAGCCCUAGUCUAAAUAGCUGUAAUAGAAGAUGGCCCAAAAUAGUGGACAAAGUAAUCAGCAUAGGUACGAAGCUUCUAGUCUAAGAGUGAUUCUAACAAAUAUGAUUUUACUAUGAUUCUCUGUGAACUAACAUGACCUGCAUACUUCCAGAACCAACAUUCACCUGUCAGUAAGAUCACUGGUCGUUUGAAGUCGUCAAUGGAUCAAGCGAUAAAAUGAAAUCCCACACUUGAAAAAGUACAUUGGUGCAAGGAAUUCACCAAACAGGCUGGAGUUCACUCAAUGUGAAUAGAGCUACACAAUGAGUGCAGAAUAAGAUCUCACCCGCUGUUUCUCAGCCUCAAUUCUCUCCUCCUCGAUCCGCAUUUCCCUAGAUAGAGAAAAAAAAAGAUAAGGUAGAUACAUCUAGUUCCAAAUGCAAGCAUGGUGAAAUAUCAACUGAGAAGAAUAAUUAGCUUGUAGAUCAACAUCUCAACUCACAAUAUCUUAACAAAUUCUUAGAGAAGUGAUUCUAGUAAAUAAUUCCAAACUAGCUGAAAGCAAUGAAAUAAUGGUUCAUGUCCUGAAUGCAUCCAGAAGACAAGGAAACCUAAGCAAGUUUUGUCAAAAAGUUACUGCCUUGAAAAUUCAUAUUGGUGGCAACCAUCUUACAUAUCAUGGAUAAUUUGGUGAAUUGCACUAGACCUAGUUCAGAAACUAGUUUAAAAUAGGUCAGAGACUAGCCCAAAAUAAAUGCACUCUUUAGAAAUGACAAUCUUAUGGAUUUUAAACACAUGAUAGAGUGCAUAAUAAACAUCUUCAACUCAAAGAACCUCUUUCUAGAGGCAUAUUGUCAGAUGAAUAAUCAUUCUACAAACAAAUGGAAAGUUUGCAGUAACUUAGGACAUAGAAAAUCUAUAAAUGCUUCAACUUACAAGUAAAUUUGCCACCACGCUAUGAUGGAAGGUCAAACGUGGUUCUCUUUCAUCUUUUGAUUAAGUUUGAAUAAAGCCUAACAUCCCUAUUGUUUAAAUGGAGAGAUAACCUGUAACAAGCUUUGAGGGAGCUACCAACUGAACAAUUUCAUUAAUUUCUAAUUUUAUCAUGUUCAGCUUAUUGUAUCUGCCAAUGCAGAGUGCAUGGGUGUAUUAAAAAUGCUAUACAAAAUUUCUACAACUAAAACUAAUUGCUACUACAGAACGAAUUUUUUCAUAUGGUUCUAAUGAUUUUAUAGCUAUUUUGCUACAGAGUGUUGCGGUUCAUGUUCCCCUCUAUUAAUCAAAUAUACAAAGAAAGAUGAAAGACUAAUGAGGCUAAAACAAGAUAAAUGGCUCUUGGAAAAAUUGAUUGGUGGUCGUUUUAAGAAACUGAUGGACUUGGCCUUAUGCAAUAUGCAAGGAAGUUUAAAAAUAAUAAUAAAGAGGAUGAGUUCUUUCUUUUUUCACUUAGGAACUUGAAAACAUGAUGCUUAGAGUAAUUUUGCCAUCUCAGUGUAGGCUUCGCUUUGCAAAACUUGUUUAACAUUUGAACACAUUUCUUUUUGAACAUGUAACAAAAUGAAUGCAAUAUGUGCUUGUUGAAUGAUGUGAUUUUCCAGCCCAAAACUUUGUGCUACUUGCUUUGAACAACAGAGCAGUCACAGAGCCAGGUAUCUUUUGAGUGAUUAAUUAUAACAAUUCUUAUACUGCAUUUUAUGAUCUACACUCGGAGAUAAGAAUUGAAGAAUCAAUAAUAUAUGGCCAAAUGGCCCUCUUCCAAUAACUUGGGCCUCGACACUUUGAGCCAUGUCAUGAAGGGCAAUCUUAGAUUGAAUUAGAUGUUGAGUCAGUGGGCUGCCUGGAUCACAAGGAGAAAAAUCAAUAACUAAAGAGACAAUCCCAGUGAGCAGCUGACAAAUUCGUGUCCAAAUGGGCUACACAACAGGAGACAUCUUAUUGACAAAACCAUGCGACCAUCCGUAGCAAAAUCUAAACUUUAACAAAUUAAGGGUCUUCAGCCUAAAGGGGAAAAGGUCAAAUUUAACAUUAGUUAGUUAUAAUGUAGUCUCUAACGCUUUUAUUAGAAAAGCAAAGAACUCAAACAUUGUCCCUCAAACACGAAAUUAUCUCUCUUAUUUAAUCACAAUAGUCAGAUUGACGACUGUUUCAAUAGCUAAUCGAAAAUAUUCUCUUUUCGCGACAUUACUGUUUCCACAAUCUAACUUCUAUAUCCCAUCAUUUCUUUAUAGAAUUUUACAAAAAAAAGGCCAACAAUGGUGUCCUAGGCGCUAAAUUUCAACAUUUCCUCAAGUACGGACAACAAUGAUCACAAGACUAGAACGCAUUUUAUAGCCACAGGACUUCAUUCAACAAAAAAACUCAAAAUAACAUAAUUUAUGGAUGAACUAAACGGAGAGAGAGGUGGAGAAGAAGCCAAAGGGAACGCACUUGAGCAAGAGAGGGGUGACGAGCUGAGCCCUGCCCGUGGGUAGCAGGAAGUUGCGGUAGUACCCGGCUUUCACGUCAAGGAGAUCCCCCUUCUUCCCCAGCUCCGUGACGUCCUCCUUGAGGAUGAUCUACGCAGAAAUUACACGAUCGGCAUCAACAACAAACGAACUCGAAGGAAGAAGAGGACCGUUCGGUUGCAUGCCUUGCGAAUCUUCUUGGCUUUCUUCUGAGCGAGUAUCGGCAUCACCCUCCCGGCCUCGAUGGGAUUCCUCGGCCCCUCGUUUCGCGCGCCUCCGCCGACUCGAUGCGGCCGCGGGCAGCAGGCCGAGCCCCAUGAUAAGGUUGAAGCCAUUACGGUACCUUCUAUUCCUCUCUGUCUUCGCUCUGGCUCGCGUCUUAUCUCCUUCUGCUUAUAUCGAUCGUGCGGGGUUGCUUCGUUCGGGUCGGAUCUGAACUCUUGGAGUCGUGCUUUGAUACGGACUCGGUAGGCCUGCUAACGGAUUGGAUCCAUGUCCAAAACGGGUAACGGGUUGGGUUGAAGCCCAUGCAAGAAAGAAACAAGAAGUGGACUUAAUCGUAAAACUGAGAGUCGACUCCAAAUUUCCAACAAUAAUAAAAUAUCAACUUCAUCUUAGCAUAACACUAUCUCAUAAAAAUCUUUAUUUAUGAAUGUAACACGAAGAUUACACAUAACAAAUAGACAGCAUUGGCUCCCUUUUCCAUUACCAUUCGAUGACUAAAUGCAUAAUUCUCGCAUUUGGUAUCGUCUUGUCAUAGAUUCCAUCCAAGCUAAUCUAUGCUGAGAAAAACAUUAUUAUUUUACUGCCAGAGUUAACCUUGCCUUCAGAACAAUGUCAUAAUAAGCAACGAAACAUUUUGAAGCUGGAAAAUUCUUUCAUUUAGUGUCACUGAUAAACAAUUCAAGUGACAAUUCGAGAUCUCAUAGGGCUCUGCGUUACAAGGAGUUUGGAUGUAGUAUACAGCAUCCUGUAUUCAGCUGCCGGAAAAGUCUUGACAAAGCGGUUGGCAUGAAAUAAUUGUUCCUCCUUGCAGAAGUCAUAGCAUCUUUCCAGGGGAUAAUAUAACCCUUUUCUAUCUACAACCUACAAAUAUUUGGGGCGAUGAAGAAUUACAUUAACAAUAAUGUUCUGAAAAAGACGGCAGUUGCUGGUAUUGAAUGAAUCAGUGCUUUCCCAGAUUAUAAUAUGCAUGUGGAACAAUAGAGAAUAUACCUGUAUACAUGUAAGCUAAAAAUAUUUUUCGGAAAUAAGUGUAUGAGAUCAUAGAGCAGACGAAAAUAUAGCCAAGGGGUGAAGAAAAAUUGUAAUCCUAUAUAAAGCCUACCAAAAUUGUUCACCUAACAUGGAAAUAUGAACUUCCAUAAAUGCUUAUGUGUUUCUAACCAAUAUCAGUGCCGAUAUUUCUAGAACUUCAAUUAAGUAGCACCUAUGAAGUCAACAUAAACUUAGACACUUAGAGAUGAAAGCAAAACAAGUAGAUGUGUUAACUAGAACUGAAGUUCAACCGUAGAACGAAAAAAAAAAAAAACAAUAGAAGAUGCUUACUGUCAAUCUUUGAUUUAUUACCUACAAAAAUCAUAUAGGAGUUAACAAGAUUGUACAAGUCUAAGAAAUACUAAUAGAUGUCAUGCUCCAUUGAUUGAAAUGCCAUGAGUUAUGACUCAUUUCAAUGGCUCAGUUGAUCAUAAAGUCUGAAAUGAUGGUAUGGGGUGAUAGUUUUCUGAACCAUGGCAUGAUAAAAUGAGAACAUGUCCCGACAGACUGGCCUAAGAGCAAGGCCUUUUUUUAUAACACAAGCCAAAGCAGCAAUAAAUUAGCAAACAAAUGCCUUAAUGGUCACCUUGGAACAUUGCCAAUGGCAUCAAAACCUGACAAGCAAUCAUUAUACCCUUAAAAUUGACGAUGAGGAUCACCACAAUGAUCAUAUUAUGAAGACUAAGCACAUUUUCCUGAUUGUUAUUGGAUAGGUGUGCAAUCCCAACUUGGCGAGCCCUGUGGUCAUGCUAUAUUAGGUGGCAAAGAGGAUGGAUCUCAUUUAAUCAUACCAUCUUCGUAAGAGUGACAUCAUCAAAAGAAUAUUGAAGGGAUGAUUGAUUGGCGUCUACCCUUGUAUAGCAGAAGAACACUCCUAGACUAAUGAUAUAAUGGACCCCGUACUUCUCAGUUAUAUAUAAUACAAAGAAUGUAUGCUUUCUCAUCAACUAUAUUAAACAUACUGGGGUAUCAAUUUGCUCUGACAAAUUGAGAGAUUUCAGAAUACUAGUAUCUUACAAACAAUUUGAUAAGAAUGCUCACCAAUAUUAUAUGACAAACAACACCCAUCAGGCAGACAGAAGAAACUAAUUAAUAGCAAAAAUUUUGACAGCUGAAGAACAAGUAUCUUUUUUUCACUGGGGAACAGCAAAAUAAUCUUACAUUUUAUUGUUCAGAGUUUUGUGUGGUGCCAGACAACCAUUGCCAGACACCCCCUGAUCUCUGCUUCUGAGCAUCAACUGUCUCCUGUUCCAUUUGAGAUUUCUGAUGACGUAGGACCUCAAGCUCAUUUUCUAAUGAGCUAAAUGAGACCAGGCUUUUCUGUAUCUGAGCAAUAUUUGUCUACAAUGACCCAGAAAGAAAAAGAGAACACAAAAUACUUAGUACCAAAUGGCUAUGAUCAUCCUCAAAGAAUGAAAUGGAUGAUGAAACAAAAAUAUCAAAUACCUCUAACUUUAGACAUCUUGCACUUUCAGCAGCUAGUUGACUUUGAACUGAUUGAAGUUCCUUGAGAAACAGAAAAAGCAGAAGUUUCAGAAUUACAAAAUUGUAAAUACUGUCAUGACGGAAAAUUUACCUUUAAUAAUUCAGUAUGGGAAAUAUUCAACUCAUCAAUUCUGGCCUGUAUCCUUGACUUCUCAUCUCUUACUUCCACUAUCCUGGAUUUUAAAAUCUUCGUUUCUGCUUUAAGACUAUCAGUAUCAUUUUGGGCACUCUCAUGGUUGCUCUUGCUGUUUGAAUCAUCUAUGUUCUUACUACUAUUGUUUUUUUCAUCGGUUGCAGCAAUUAUGGCAUAAGCUGCAGUUACAGAAGCUGCAGCAGCUGCUGCAGCAGGUGAUUGAAGAAGACGUGGUCGUAUUGGCUCUUUAGGCUUAAUUUUUAGAACAAACACCUAAAAGAAAAUUGAAAAUUUACAUCAGUACAAACAACUCCAUUAAGUAUAUACAAAUGACAGGAAUUCACAAGAAAAAAAAAAAGAAAUCAUGCUAUACAAUAAAAAUAAAAGGAAGCCUAAGAAUUUGGUGUGCUGCCUCACCCCAGUUCAUGAGCAUAAUUUGGUAAAUAAAACAUAAAUACCUUAUAUAAUCGAGCAUACAAUGAACAUGGAGAUGCAAAUAACAUGUGUACAACAUUCAAAAAAAUUUGUUGCAACAGAAGAAUUUGCCCCAAUGUAUGACAUAAAAGCCAUACUGAUGUGCACUGCAAUUGUUAAAUGGAAACAUUUUCAAAUGAAAAUAUUGGUCUUUCUUCACUAGUGAUGUGCAAUUUAUCUUAUCCUGACAUAUUAGGAUUCGAAAUAGCUGUCAGAAAUUUAGCCUGAAAUGAGAUUUUACUCUUCUUGCAUACCUCAUUGUUGUACUUCCCAUUAUAACCACCAAAGGCAAUUAAGAGCUUCUCACCAUCUAUCAUUGUUGAGCAAAGAGUAAGACCCUGUCAAGAACCAGUAACAUGAUAUCAGAAUCUAGUGGUGCAAUUAAGUGCCAUUCUUUUUUUUUUCCCUCAUAACUUCAUGAGAUGAGUUUACCCAUACCACAUGAUCUGAAAUAUAUGUAGAUGAAGUUAAAAGAAAGUUGAACAAAGUUAGAAGGCAUCCAGUUUUAUUGAUAUCCAAUUAAUCAUUAUUGCAUAACUUUGUCUAAAUAUUCUGUGUCUACAAAACAAUUGCUUAUAAUGGUAUGAUAGACAUCUCAUAUAGGAAUCACCCUUGGCAUCUUGCUUGGGACAUCAACAGCCAAAUUCAGUAAUCAAAACCAAGAUUUCUAUUUAAUCACAAAAACACAUGUCUUAUUCAAUAACAUACAGCUCUCACCCAUAUAUGUCACAUUAUUAUUGUAUCAUGUCUCACAAUCACCUCAGGUAAAUUGAGCACCAAUUUUUUGUCUUGGAAGAGAAAGGGUGUAUGAACAUGGCAUGGGGGAGAUCACCCCUAUAUAUAUAUAUAUAUAUAUAUAUAUAUAUAUAUAAGUGAAUAUGAGAAUGCUAUUUUUUUCAUUGAAACUAAUUAAAAAUGAAAUUGUUAAUUUUUUUCCAUAUUUGCUUAUUGUAAUUUUCCCCUGUUUGUCACCAAAUAAAAGCAGUCUGAGUCUCUAUUGUACCAGUCAAUCAUUGGAACUUUUACUAUUGUUGCUGGAAAUCACAGCAGAGAUAGAUUGCAAUAGUGAGAACAAGCAUAACUAUUGCUUGAACAUUUGCAGCAAGUGCAAUUGUGAAAAACAAUAAUCAUCAUUACUGGUUAUGUUCCACAAUAUUUCUGACACUAAACUGCUGUGCUACACAGUUCAAUUGGUAUAUGUUUUAUUCAAUCUUAAAAUUCCAUCAUGCUUAAAUUAUAAUAUUUUAUUUUAUUGGUAAACCUGUCUGUAUUAUGAAUUAACUUAGAUGAUAUAUUUUUUUCAAAGGAUUUAAUAGUUGGGUUGCUGCCUAGAGCCUACGUGGGUAGUGGCUGAACCAAAAACACUAAUUAGGCUUUCCUACAUAACAACACUACUAUAUUAGCAUUUCAAAUUUGACAUUAUUCUCUUUUGAUUGACGAGUAGCAAUAUGAUAGAGAACGGUCUCAGCUAGAAAACAAUUUAAAAAAUAAAAAACAAACAUGCAGAAAAAUAAAAAAAAUUAUAAAUAUAAAAGAGACAGCCAUUUUGGCAUGUAUUAUAGUUUAAAACUUAUCUGAAAUUCAAAUGUUUGAAACAUAUUUUUAAACAAGUAAAAAUAUUUUCACACACUUUUUUAUCAUCUAAUUUUAAUACUUGUCUAAAUGUUCGAAGUAUGUUCACAAAGGUUCGAAACAAAUUUUAAACAAUUAAAAUUAAUUAAUUUCAUAAGAAGCAAAUUUUUACUAUUCUUACGAAAUGUGAAUUGUAUAACUCAUUUAUAAUUAAUUUCGUAAUAAAUCAUCUCAAAUGAUUAAAACUAAAAUCUAAAACAAAUUAAAAAGCAUAAUGUUUCGAACCCCCAAUACCUUCCAAAAAAUUUCCUAUCUUAUUUGGCUGAUUCAUAAACAAAUGUAAUGUGUAAGACCCUCAUAUUUCUUAAGAGAGUCAAACUGGAAUGAGUGUGCUUUUGGUAGAGAUCUUAAGACAAUUUCCUGCAAGACAUCAAUCCAUGUUGGGAUAUGUCACAAAAAACGAAUAAGAGAUUAGUUUAGGGUACUGCAUUCCAAAGUGGCAAGCAAACUAUUAAAAUGAUUCUCUUUGAAGAAGUGAUCAAUACAGUGUAGAGUAAGCUGCAUAUGCCAGUCUGAGUGACACGAUUCUUGCAUCAUCAUGGGCCUCACUCUGAGCAAGCUACAAAAUUCACAGGUCUUAUGGAAUAUUGAUCAAGCAUGGGGCUAGAAAGGAAAAUGUCAUUAGCAAAAAGAACUAGGGAAAUUUAGAUAUGUAUAUUUAUAAUAAGCAUAUGCAAAGCAGGGUCAAAUGUGUCAAAUUAGAGAAGUCAAGUAUGUAGAUAAUAAAUAAAAGAAUAUGUUAAUCCUUCAAAAAGCACUAGAUAUGCAGACUUAGUUCAAUUAUACAUUGCAAGAAUAACUAAAACUGAUCAAAAGCUAGAGAAAAUAUCAGGUUCUAGAUGAUAACCUCACUAGCAAGGGGCUCACGAUUGCCAACACUUGUGGCCAUGGACCACACAAACUUUGAUAUGUUCAAAACAAUGGUUUCAGUGGCACCUGUAAGCAAAAUCCUAGACUUCAGAUUUUAACUAUAUAAGCAAUCAAGAAGACUAAUUUCCAAUAUCUAGAAGCAUUAAAAGAAAAUCAGUAGAAGUUCAGUCACCACUCAUAUUAUCUCCACCACCAACUAUAUACCAAUUCUCAUCUACUAUGGUGCUAGCAUGACCACCUCUAGGAGUCACAUAUGCACCCUGAGUCUGUGGCUGUGACCACUCCAUCUGCAAUGCAAACCAACUAAUUGACAUGGAGCAAUGUAAAUAAGAACAAAACAUCAACAUUUUUAAUAUGGAUUGGUUCAGAGGUUCCACAUGUCUUUUUUCUUUCUUACAUUAAACUUUGCAUAGAAGAUCCUGAAGAAAAUGAAGUAAAAUUCCAGACUCUAUUUUGCCUACAGAUUACAGUUACUUAUCAUGAAGCAUCAAUCCUUCAAUUUCUUUGCUAGGUCCGUACUGGAUAUAUGUUGGAUUAUGAUGUACAUGUACACUUCUAUGAUACAUGUUGAGACUUCCUCUUAAUAUGUAAUUUUUGAAUAGUUAAAAAAUUCAGCAUGACUAGGGAAUACUUAUCAGAUACCUGUUGGGAUUCUUUUACUUUAAUAGUGGUUUUCUAAUCAUAGAUAUGCACAAAUGACUAUAAUGAACAUGAAUAUGUUGCAUGCAUUAAGCAUUAAUGGCUAGUUAAAUGAAUAGAAUGCUUUUCCUUCAACUUCGUAAAUGCUUAGUAUCUUCUUUAUAUUAUUGGCAUACUAUAUUGCUUGAACAAUAUUCCUUAUGAUACAUAGGUCAGGUGCGAUAUAGUAAAUAUUUUAUGAACCGUGAUGAACAAUUAGCUUGUUCUAUAAAUAUUAUGAAACUUUGUCAAAUAUAAUAUUAUAUGUUACAAUAUUCUUUACUGUCAAUUUCCUUGUAGCAACAUUUUAAUUUUUUCAAGAUUUGAUGUAACAGUGUAUUUGAAUCAUCCGUAUUGGUAUCCUAUGUCCGUGUUCAACUUUACAGGUUCCUUAAGCCAUAUCAAUUAUCCAUAAACAGACAUUAUCGGCAGUGCAAAUGUUGAUUAGACCAUUCACAUAUAUUAUACACAACACAACCAAACUCUAUUUUGUGAUGAACCUAUAACUGAGUUGAACCAAAGCUAACAAAAGGAUACAUACGGUCAACAAGUCAAGUAAAUGCAGAUCAUUGAAACAGGUUGAAUGAGAUGAACCACCAAAGAUCAGAAGAUAUUGGUCUCCAUAAACUGCAGCUGUAUGAUCAAACCUCGGUGCUGGAGACGUGUUCCUGCAUAAGAAAAUGGAAUGACAUACUCCUUUGCACAGAUUUCUCCAAUUAAUAUAAAAUUGAAAAGCAUACUUGAUUUCAAUUUCAUCCCAUGUCAUAGUAGUCAAAUCAAGAAUAUGGAGGUCAUUUAGGAGAUGCCUCUUCCUGUCUUCUCCACCAAACAGAAACAGUUUGGAGCCAACCAAAGUUGCAGAUUGCCCUCCUCGAGCUAUCUGUUAAGAAGCGGACAUAUAUCUCAAAGCUCUCAGCAAUUUUCCAGAAAAAUUUUUCACUCGUACAUAAAAUUGACAGACAUAUCUACUCCUAGUCUUUGCACACAAACAAUACAUUUGACAUCCUAAGAGAAAAAAAUAAGAGAUGUUAACAGAACCAGGAAUCAGAGAUCAAAUUUUACCGGAAUUUUACCAUUGGUCUGUACUAGGGAACAGUUGUUUGUAUCUAGAUCAAUCGACCAAACUGCAAUUCAAUAAAUGACAAUUAGAUAUAGAGUGGGAAUUUUUUAGCAAACAAAAUUCAAACCUAAGAGUAUAGCUAUAAUAUAAGAAACAUAGGACUACCAGCUAACAUGUCACACAUGAGUUACAAUCUGUGAUAUUGCAUAUAAUACAAGUUAUAAAACUUUAAAUAGAUAUGCUAAUAAUCGGUAAUGGUAUAUGGGGAGGUCAGGAGUAAUGUAACUGUGACACAGUGAACAGUCAUGAAAAGCCACCAAUUUAUAAUAUUUUGGCUUUUCAUAUUAUGCCAAGUUUCCUAAUGAUUAAAAAGUACUCAAUUAAUUGCUUGAAAUUUAUGUUAUCAUGUGACAUCUAAACUUUUGGAUUAAUAUUAUUUGAUUUGAUCUCGUGUAAAGUGUAAGCAGCAUGUUGCUUGACAUUCCAUAGUGUUGAAUGAUAACUUUCUAUCCAAUGGUCACACUCCAGCUGCCAUGAACCUGAGGUGAACUAUUUAUAGUUAAAAUCGUCUAUGAAUGGUUAUUAGAAAUCCCCAAGUAUCAAAAGUUUAGAUAUGACAGGACCAUACUCUUUCAAAUAUUACAAGGCACUCUUAUACACGAUAAACAUUUAAAAGAGUCUCAUUCUACAUCGUUAUUGCCCCACUCUACUAAAGUAACAUAACACUAACUGGCUGAUUAGCACAUCCCAAAACCAAGAUCAAGAAGAUAAGUCUUAUUAAGAUUUACAAGUAAAAAAACUCAUUGAUCAUUCAAUGGCACUAUCAUGAAAGCCAAAGAUUUAGAAGUAAGAACCAAAUAUGCCUGUAGUGAUCUCCAAUAACAGCUUCUAUUACAAGUUAGUUCAUAUAUAUUAUAUCAACUAUGCCAAUAUGUACUAUGGUAUCAAAAGGGGAGAGAAGCAGAAGGAAGAGGAAGAAGAGGCAUACCAAGCAUGGGCUGACAGGUCAACAGUGGUCAGCAGUGUGAGCAAAAGGCCAAUGAUGGCAGGUGGCACAAAGGAGGCAAGCAUGAGCAUGCGAGAGAGAGAGAGAGAGAGAGAGAGAGAGAGAGAGAGAGAGAGAAGGGUGCAGGGGGGAGGGUUAGGGUUACCUCUAGUGAAAAAAGGGUCAAAACCAGGCUGGGAGCCUGGUUCAAGCCCCGUAAUGGGCUAAAUCCUAAUGCUAACCCCAGUUCAAGGGCUACCAGGCGACAACUCAAUAUCAAACCUGGACCACCAGAAAGGAGUGAUCCGCAUUUUGGUCCAGUAAAUACUGGCUGAUACUUACCAGAGUGAAUUCGCAGACCAUGGUUAUAAGAAUUUGUUGUUGGACAAACGAUUAUGGCAUUUCUGUAGUAACUUAUGCAAGCACAAGCAAUAGACAAAGCACAUAACUAGAAGAAAAUAGUUAGCUUAGUAUGCCAUGAAAAAUCUACCUGUCACAUUAUCUGACAAUUCCUUUGUAUGGCCCGCAACAACUAGAAGUCCCUUUUCCCACUUAACCUGUUUAUAAGGACAACACCAUCUGAAUAUGAAUUUUUUGUAAAAAGAUCAACAUCAUAAGCGACAAGUCAAGUUUUAAAUACAACAAAUAUUUUCUGUUGCGCAACUGCCAAAAACUCACCAAACUAUGAUCUGCCACUGCUGGAAAUGCAUUCUCCAAAUUGAUCUUUUCUAAUUCAGAACUAUCAUUGUCUACCUUGAGGCUUAAAGUGGACCAUUUUAAUGUCCUAAAAUCAAAAACCUGUAAAAUUUAGCAUAUAUCAUUAUCUCCAAUCUUAUUACUUGAUAAUCAUCAUAACUCCAAAUGAUAAUUUAUCACCUGAACAUCUGAUAGAUAUCGGCCAUUACGACUUCCACCAAUUACAUAGAGCUUUUCGUUAACAAUUUCUGUUGCAUGCUACAAGGAUUUAAAAAGAAAAAGGUCAGCAGUGGAUGAAAAGUAAAAUUAAAUUCCUGAGGUACAAAAAAAUUAUUAACUAUAGUAGAAAUUAUUCUCAAAGCAUUGAUAUGAGAACGAAUGCAGGCUACAACCAGGUCACACCAUGGUACCAAUGGAAUGACUUCAUAGGUCAUAAUCGAGUCACCAUCAUAUAUGUACCUUAUAACGGGAUGGUGGGCACCAACCAGAAGGACAAAGUGAAAACCACUGGUCAUAGCUUGCUAAAGAUAUAAAAGCAGUAAUAUCUGAAUUUUCACUGACAUCGGUGGCAUCCAUAGCAAUCUAGAAAAACAAAAAAAAUUCAUUAAAUGUACAAAUUUAACAUAUGAUCAGUAACAAAGGAAGUCAUUAGAAAAUGACAAAUUGUUGUUCAUUUUUAGGAAUAAUCUGAAAAACAAUCUAAGUUAUUGACUUGGAAAGUAGAUAUUAUAGUACAAUAAUCAUUAUGUUUAAAUUUCUUAUAAAAUUAGUGACAUGCAAAAGUGAAACAAUUAACAGUUGAGCAAAUAAAGGAUGAUGCAACUACACAUAAUCCUAAGUCCAAAAAGAAAAGAAAUUAUCUUAUACAAAAUCCUCGCUGUUAUCCCUGCACCAUAGUAUACAUGACAAUUCCUAGUUGGAUCCAAAGAUUUAAAUAUCAGUUUUGGUAACCUAUUGGACCAGCAUGAGGCAUGUAUACAAGGUGGUUAAUUGACUUAUCAUGCCUGGUAUCAUUACAUACAAGUAAUAAAAAAAACCCAAAUUGUAUUAUAGUGUCCUAUUAUCAAGCUAUAUGUUUUGAUAUUGGUACUUGGUCGGACUGAUAAAUGCCAAUCACUACAUGCUGGUCUAACCAGCAUUUAAAUCUUUGGUUGGACUAACAGCAUCUAAUAUCUGCAUGGUCAUCUUUGUGCACCAUAUUGCUUCAAAAAUGAUUCCAACCCAAGGCCUUCAUAUGAGACUUUAGCCCUAAUAUUUUCUAUAUGCUGCUAUCUCUCUUUCUUCAUCCUGCCUGCAAAGUUGUAAAUACUGUGUUUAUUGCUGAUAUCAACUAACUAAUUUCAAGAAUUUUCUACCAUAAAGGCAUUGUAUCUAUCAGCUAACGCUUUGUUAGUGUCUCUAGUCUCUACCACAUGCUCAGCCUGCUCAAAAAAAAAAAUCAAAUGCCUCAUGCUUCAAUGUUUGGUUCUCUUUUGUGCAUGUACUAUGUGAUCAUAAUACUCUUCAACCUAAGUACUUUAACAAUUAAAGGACAAUGUGGGAAGAAGCAUGUAAAAGCAUAACAUGGCAUGUUUCUAUCUGGUCACUUAGUUUGUUCUGCCAAUAUUACCGAAACAACAUUUUUUUCCCACUCCUAUAAUAAAUGGAAUGAGUUUCUAAAAUACAAGGUAAAUUAUGUCACAUCAUUUCGCACUUCAUGGUUGCAUCUUUUUUUAAUUUCAAUUAAUGCAUUUGCACACACACUUACACGAAUACUGGAAGCAUCAAAUUGUGCAAGAAUCUUGACCUUUUCUUGUUUAUAUCAAGUCAUAAUGGAUACUAAGUAAAACUUGUGUACAACACUUAAAAUUUCCCAUGCCAACAGAAUUGUCAAAUCUUAACUGUGAUGAGCAUUGAGCAACACCCUGAAUUAUUAGAUCAAUCUUGCUUCAUCAAGAGCAGGUAACACUGAAUUCUCAAGUCACUUCAUAGUAACACUGAAUUUUCUUGUGAUUUUUUAAAGAAAAAUCUCCAUUCAAUUGCGAAAAAGAUGAAGUGAAUAACCAGUUUUAUUGACCAGACAGUUGUGUAAAAACAAUGCAAAUUUGUGAUCAGGGUCCAGAGUUAAGUUGUGGCCCUUAUCCACCACACAUAAUAUCUGCAGAGGAACAGUCUCAAGUCCACCCUUGAUUGUGACGCUAACCAAUAUGAUGCAUUGCCCAUCCCACUAAAAAACUUAAAACAAACUAAACAGUCCCUAGAAAGAUAUCUAUAUUGUUCUGACAUAUCCAACUGCAGCAAAAAAGCUAUGCAGCAUCUUGUAAGUCAAAGCAGGUUUCUUCAAAAUUUAUGAAAUUGGAGUCCAAGAAAAAAAAAAUGAACAGAUAAGCAAAACCAAACCAUAAGAAAGAAAUAUACAUUCUAAAUUAACAAAUCCAAAUUUUCCCUGAUACAUACUUGAUAUCAACAAUUAUCAAGAUUUCUGACAGACGUUAGAGUUUCUCUCUUCAGCGUACGGCGAGACAAUUUCAAACAGCUUUUAGGAUCAUAAAUCCAUAUCAGCUGAAUGAUUGAGCACAAAAUAACAGGAGUGGUAUGAGCUUUAAAACCAGUGAUUAGAAUAUCUAGAACCUACAAUAAAGCCAUUGUGAUACAAGCAUCCCAAGUGCAUUCCGCAAGGCCAUGACACGACAAACCCUUUUGCUAGUAAUAAGCAAAACUCAGAAUUCAUAAUGCUAGUCAGCAUAUAUGUAGAGAUCUUUCAAAUAAGCUAAGCUAUCAUACCCUAAACAGCAAGCCUAUCUAAUUAGCCUCGUCAAGGGAAGCAAUCAAAAGAAGAGGAGACCAAGAUCGCAUUUCCUUACAAGUCCACGACUCAGCGAUCUUAUCAAGGAUUUGAAACAAGGAUCGAGGUAACGAUCGAUAAAGGAUCAGAGGCGGGGAUCUUCACCUUGGCUCUUUGCAGAUCUGGGCGCGCGAGGAGGAGCGCCCUCGCUCGUUCGUUCGAGCGAUCGAUCAAGGGGAAGGGAGACACGAACCCCUUCUUCCUUCUCCUCUCGUUCUUGUGGUGUGCGCAGGAUUAUGUCUUCGUCAUCGUCGUCCUCGUCGCCGUCUUCUCCGGACGCAGUCAACGGGGAACCCCAGAUUUGGGCAGCAGCAUCGGCACGUUAAGCCGGUUUGAAACGGUGGAUCCACAGUUGAGCCCGAUUACGCGUACCAAAAAUCCUACCUCACUUGCUGCACUCUUUCACAUGCCUAUUAAGCGGGGCCCACGAGACCCGCAUAAGGGGGUCGGGUUAGAGUACAAAAUUAAUGGCAUUGAUGGUGCGUUAUUUAUGGCACCAUUAAAAUUUUGAAUCAUGAAAAUAAUCUCUUAAAAAAAUAAUAAUAUAUAUUGAUCUUCUUUGAAUCCAAUAAUAAUAUUUAAAAAUAUAUAUAUUUAUUUUAUAAAGAAUAAAUAAUAAAGUUAAAUUUAUAUAAAUCGUACGUCACCCUUGUGUGUAUAUCCGUGAUCUCUUAUGAAUAGUCUAAAGCAGAUUCAUUGUAUUUUUCUAGAGUAAUAUCAUGUGGGCACUAAUGAAAAAUGGAUUAUUUUGAAUCCCUUAUUACAUGUUUAUCGAGUAUUUAUUAAAAUAUUUAUCUUUAUAUUUUAUAUUAUCUAUCAAGUAUUUACUAAAAUAUCUGAUUGUGGGAUCUCGAGUAUAACGUUUCUUCUAACCCAUCUUCCCAUAUCCUUAGGGAUCUCGACUGAUCCUGUAUGAUAUCGAUGCAAAAUAUAUUAAACUAUACUUGGAAUUAUAAAUAUUAUUCAGUAUUCUUAGCUAAUUUUAAUAACUCUUAUGAUAUUUAAUAUAAACUUUUGAGAUGUGUAUAUAUCAAAAAACAAAUAAGAAUAAUAUUGUAAUUUAAAGAAAGAAAUUAACAUAUAUAAUAAAAACAACAAAUUGUAAUGUCUCAAUUAUUUUGGACCAAAAAGGAAAUUUAAAUAGUAGAGUAUAAACAACAUUUGGGCAUGGAAAUUAAAAUAGCAUCAUUCUGAUAAUACUGUAAUUUAAAGAAAAAAGUUGGCAUAUAUAAUAAUAACAACAAAUUAUAAUAUCUCAAUUUUUGGGACCAAAACUAUAGACAAAAUUUUGAAAUCCCAUAUGUGGAAGACGACAUCUUUGAUUUGAAUUAAUCCAUUACGAUCCCAUUAGUCAAUUAUGAUAGAUCCAUUAAUCUUUUAGAAGAGAUUCAAGUCUUCUCCCACUUUCGAUAAGGACUAAACCAUGAUUUUAUAUGUCUUCUCUCCAAACUUAAUCACCACCAAUUUUCUUCACUUGUUCAACUGAGAGCUGAGAUUCUGAGCUCAUGAUUUUAUAUCUAUGGAGAUUUAUAGCAUGUCUACAGAGCGGCUGAGUUCCCCCUCAACCUCACUAACCUUCUUACAAACUCAUGCAUGCCUUCCUCUCCGGAAGAGCGUCGAGUAAUCCUGAGCUACCAACCUGUUCUUAUCAUGUCAGGCAACAACUUCAAACUGAUUCAGUAGAAGUUUGUGACAAAAACUAAAGUUGUCACUCUUAGAAGAGAGAGAGAGAGAGAGGGUGAUUGGCUAACAUGGUAUUAAAGUUUGGAUCAUGAUAGAUUAUUUAUGCAAUUAAGAGUGCCUACCUUCAUGAUCCAUGAUAUUUGAGAUAUCUAAAAUUUACAUUAUGAAAGCAUGAGAGGAAGACAAUAUUGAGUGGGCUUUGGAUGAAGGUGGACUUUGCAUACAUAGUUCAUGUUGAAUAAAGGUGCAUGUGGACUUGCAACAUCUCUCCAUUCUUACUUGUGCAUGAACAAACUUGUAACAACUUGAAUUUUGUUUUCAUUUUUCUAUAAUUUACAAUUGUAUGUCAUUUUCAUGAUAUACAUAUAUAUACAUACAUACAUAUAUAUAUGCAAUAAUAUAUAUAGUUCAUGUUGAAUAAAGGUGCAUGUGGACUUGUAACGUUGCUCUGCUUUUGGGUCAGCAUCGACACAAAUGCAAAGUAAGCCUCGGUGACGCUAUCAUCUGUCAUCACUAAAUUGAAACAUUAAAAUUAUCUUGUUGUCUUUUAUUUUUGUAUUUUCAUUGGUAAAAUCGAUGACUUUAGGAUAAAUAGAUCUAAAUGUAAACCACUUUCAUUACUAUAUAAAUGCUAAUAUAUUUUUUUUAAAAUAUAGAGACUAAAAUACUAAAUAUAACUAAAGGUAAUUUAUAAUUAAUCAUUCAAAUUCCGAUGAGAAGGGGGACCAUGACAACUCAAAUACACCGUGAACUAUAGGUUAUUCUUCACUUCUUUAAAUCAAUGUGGUCCUCUCUCUCUCUCUCUACUAUUUAUGAUGGUUUAUUUUUUAAUAAAAUAUUAAUAAUUUAUUAAUAAUAAUAUAUAUAUAUAUAUAUAUAUAUAUUGCUUUCCUUGCAUGUGAUAAUAAUAAAUUAUUUAAAAAAGAUCAUCAAGAAAAUGUUCAUUGUUUUAUGGAUUAGGAAUAGAGUGAAAAAGAUAGAGCUAAAAGUGAAAAUAUAGAAUCCAAUUGAUAUAAAUCUCUCUUAUUUUCCCCAUCUAAAAUUGCACUGUACAGAAGAAUAAAUAUAUUGUAAACAUGAUGUGCACAUGCAGUGUUGUGAAAAAUAAUCACAAAAAGAAGAAUUACUUUUCACAUAUGUUGAUCUUUUUUUUUCUCUCUCUUUAUAUAUAUAUAUAUAUAUAUAAUUUUUGAGUAAAUGGUUUUUUAUGAUAUAAAAGAUGUGUCGGCAGUGAAGACUAUUAAAUGGGGACAUGAGGAGUUGUCUUCCUCCUCCCAAGUCACAACAUUGGCAUAGGGCUCAUCAAAAGCAAGCGCACCUCCUUAUUGAAUGAAGAAGAGCACUGUAUUAUCCACAUGAUUAGUAUGAUCUUGUCCUUUUAAAUUAUUUGAAGAGGCACUUGAGGAGAAGAGGAACAAAGAACUGAGAGUUUCAACUUUGGAUAUUUAAGACCUCAAUCAUAGCCUUUUCUUAUUCAGUAUUUUUCAUCAUAUAAAUUAUAUAUUCAACAAUUUCAGGAAUUUGAGCUCAAUAAAGGCAAAGACAUCAUCAUCCCUACAUGUAGAUAGAUGGAUACUUUUAUGUUAAAUAGAAGUGAGAAAUGAGAAUGAGUUCAAUUGGGACAAUCAUAUUUAGGGUAGACUAGAGCCUGAUCAACCAAUAAACUAAGAUUAUCUUAAUCCUAAUUAAAACUUAUUAUUAUAAAAAAUAUAUAUUUAUGAUGAAUCAUUAGAUAAAAUUUUAUGUAUGAUUUAGAUAUUCAAUCAAACAUAAAGUCUCACCCGAUAUCUAUUUAAAAUCUUGAUCGAAUUCGGAUCUCCAUCAACACCUUUCAAUCAUUAAGCGGUUCGACAAAGGACAUCAAUCAUAGUGCACUACUUAGUCUUGGUUAAUCAUGAACAAUAUCAAUUUGGUUUUCCUACCCAAACCAUACACAUAGAAUGAUUGCAUGUGAGUAUGAUGUAUAUGAGACGAUGGGGUGGGAGUUGCAUUUGGUCCACCCUCAUGCCCUUGAGGUGGUGCUCAGAUCUGUGGGAAUAACUCUGUUCACGGGUAACCUUUGCACACACUAACAAGCAACAAUACACGUUGUCGGCAAAAGAGGCCAUCCAAGUGUCAUGACUUCUUUGGCCUUUAGGUGAUUAGAUUAACUUUAUAUGGUCAUGAUACAUAUAGUGUCAUCUCCUCAUUGGUAAAUAAAUAUAAGAAAAGAAUAUUAAUGCAUUUUUUAUUGUAUUUUUUGGUUUCCAAUUUGUAAGGUUACUUGAUAGUUUGUAAGGUGAGACAAAUGUACAAUUUUUUUCUUUUAUCCCCUUAAAAGUAAAAAUAUAAGUUAUUUCUCUUCAAAUUCUUUCUAUUGGAUGCAAAUGACAUUGAUUUAUUACUAUUGAAUAAAAUCGGAGCUAGUACUAUGUCAAUAUGAUAGAACACUAAAAUUUUUGUCCAAUUAGUAUUUAUAAUUUUGAUUUUAUUUUUUAUCCGAUUUUAUUGUAUGUUGAUGUUUUACAAGAGCGGCUUACUUUUGAAAAAGUAAUUAUAAAAUAAAAAUGUAAAAAAAUUUAUUGAUAUAGGAAAUUUUGGCUAAUAAUAUAGUGUACUUAAUUUCAUUUCCUCUGUAAAAAUAUAUCUAUUGGAUUGGGGAGAAAAAAAAUUUUAGCAUGAGGAGGGUUUGAAGUAUUAGUUUCCUUUGGAUAAGGAUUUAUUAUUGGAACUUGGCAAGUGAGUGGCACAUUCUCAUUGUCCUUCCCCACUAUUUAGGUGUGUGGAAUUCAGUCCUAUUGGUUGUAUAUUAAGAAUUAUAUUUCUUUUCCCUUUUUUUUUUCUUUUCAUCCAUAGGCAAAAAUUAGAUGAUAUCAUUUAAUGAGAUAAGAGGGUCCAGCAUUAAAUGUUAGUAAGUAGAUAGCAAGGUUUUGAAAUCGAAUCCUAAGCCCACCACAUACCCUUCACCAAAAGACAAAAAAAAAAUCAAAUUAAAUGUGAAUAUGAAAGAAUAAUUAGGAAAUUACUUUAAAUCCAAUUAUCAAUUAUAGAAUAAUUUGGCAUUUUAAAGUUAUUUGGAUGAUUAAAUCUUUGGUUAUAAUUGGAACUUAUAGUCACAAUAUUAGGAUUUUUUUGGGGGGUCAGGAAACAAAUAUCUGUUGAUGUAAGCUACAGUUGAGAACCCCACACAGGAAUUCAUUAGAGUUGAACCCCAUAAAAGUGUCAAUAUUAGAAUUCAUCACAGGUGAAUUCUGCAUAGUUCCUUAUAUGAAACAGUAACACAAGGCACAAUAAUCAUUUCACUCAUCAAAAAGUUGGCCAAUCUGUUCCUUGCAGGCUUGCCUGUAAGAUUGCUGCCCUAAAUGCAGCAAUCCAGUUCCCAUGCCAUUAUUAUUGAAUGCUUUGGACCUUUUGGUGGCCUGCUGUCAAGUUCUAACAACAUACUUACAGCUAGAUAUAAUGAGUUAGAUGCCUGGAUCUACUUUCUCAUGGCCCAAUGUAGGAGGGGUCAAAAGCAAAGAUGUGGGUGAUGAGCAGCCAUCUGAUAGGUCAAGCAAGUCUUACAUUAGUUAUUGGUCUGUAUCCAUGUCGAGUUAUCUUAUAAUCCACAGAAUACACUUGCUCUGAGCUUCCCUUUGCCCUACACACAGGCAGCCAUCCACCCAUGCCCAGCCCUCCCCACUCCUCCACCCCCUUUCCCUUGCUUCAAGGCAAGUGAAAAAUAGUGAUGGUGAGGAGGUAGGAGAACCACACAGAACUUCCUCUUCACCAACCUUCCCUUGGGGCUUCUGGAUCUCACCAUUCCUUCCUUCCACAUCAUUUCCACCCAAUCCUUCAGGUCCUUGUCUCCUUCUAGAGUUCCCUAUCAGUAUAUCCAUCUCUUAGGAGCCUUGUGGUGAUAGGAGCCAUUAAAUCUUCUUCCACUUCAUACCAACUGCAUUGCCAUAUAUUUCCAAGAUCCAAGCAUUUGACUGCAGUGUGUCACUGAGGGCAUAUACUCUCUCCAUGGCUCUCCUCCUUCUCCUCCUCUCCUCCAUCCUGAUCUCCAUGCUGCAUUGGAGCAGUGGUCAGCCUUCUCCUGGAUACUACCCGAGCCACAGGUUCAAGCCUUUGCCUGGCUUCUACCAUGGGUACAGCAACCUCUGGGGGCCUCAGCAUCAAACAGUCUCCGGAGACCAGUCCUCAGCGACCAUUUGGCUCGAUAGGAACUCAGGUUUCCUCACUCUACCUCCAGGAACUCCAUCUCUAUCUCGUCAUGCUAAUCCUGCUCAUAUUCUACUGGUGACAGGAAGCGGAUUCAAGUCGAAUCGCCCUUAUCGAAGUGGGUAUUUUGCGGCAUCCAUCAAGCUCCAAGCUGGAUACACUGCAGGAGUGAUCACUGCUUUCUAUGUGAGGAGGAUUGAGCCUGGACAAAAUUAUAUUACAACAUUAAAAUGUUACCUUGCAUCGUUUGUUUGACAAUGCUGUUGCUGAAAUCGUUGGACUGCAGCUUUCUAAUAACCAGGUACAUCCUGGGUUCCAUGAUGAGGUGGACAUUGAGUUCAUGGGGAAUACUCCAGGAAAGCCAUACAGAUUGCAGACCAAUGUGUACAUCAGGGGCAGCGGCGAUAGUAGAUAUGUUGGGAGGGAGAUGAAGUUCCACCUUUGGUUUGACCCGACUGCCGAUUUCCACAACUAUGCCAUCCUGUGGAACCCAGACGAGAUCAUGUAAGUAAAUCACCUGUGUCAACUGGGACUCCUUUUGAUUCAUUUUGGUUUGAACUCUUGACCUCCUCCUGAUCUUGUUGGACAUGUGAAAACUUGUCUUUCCCAACUGCAAGUCUGGGAAUAUAAAGAUUAGUUCACCUAAAUUGAAGAACCCAAUGAUAAACGAAAGAGAAGUUCCCUUCUUAUCUUCUUGUACAGUAGUAAAUAGUGUUUGCCAUUGAAUGCUAAGACUGGGCCUCACCACGGUGUUAUUAUAAAAGGGUAGGAGUAUGUUACCAAACCUAAUCUGCCAAGAGGGAAAUAGUAAAUAUAAAAUGCUACCUAUCAAGAACAAUGACUGAUUUGAUGGCUGAUUUUGUCAACCAGACACCAAAAGGUAUCUACAUGUACAACAUCCCAUGUAACUAGGCAAGAGCAAAAGUAGUGGCAGGGUCUGAAACAGCUAAACUUGGUAGAGUGUGUGGCCUUGUGAACGAUGCUCUCUUUGGAGCGUGGACUGUAGAAGAUGACAGCCAUUUGUGCCUGCAGAUUCUUUGUGGACGACAUACCUAUACGGCGGUAUCCGAGGAAGAGCGAAAACACAUUUCCGAUGCGGCCAAUGUGGAUGUAUGGAACCAUCUGGGAUGCAUCAUCUUGGGCCACGGACAGAGGCAAGUACAGGGUCGACUACCGGUACCAGCCGUUCGUCGCAAGGUUCACCAGGUUCAUCAUUCGAGGGUGCUCGGCGUAUGCUCCGUCAAGCUGCCGCCAGGCACCGUCGUCACAGUCCGGCUCCGGGCUCAGCCCCCAGCAGUAUGCAGCCAUGCAAUGGGCGCAGAGCAACUACAUGGUGUACAAUUACUGCAUGGAUCCUAAGAGAGAUCAUGCCCUGACUCCAGAGUGCUGGGGCUGAAUUAGCUGCAGACUGCAAAACUGGUGGACUCAAAAUGAGCUGUGUUGUUGUCGUUGUUACCUGUAGUUGUGUUGGUAGAAGAUAAAUGUUUCUCUUCCUGGUUAAGGUGGAAGAGUCUGGUAUUCUUCCUUUGUUUGAGUAGCCCAAAGGGGACAUAUGAUGGUGGAGAUUGCAAUGGUGGUGGAAGUGUACUAUUCAUUUGCCAUUUUCAUCUGCAUAAUGAAAUAAUUCAAUGUGUUGCAAUAUUAAAGAUGCAGAACGGUGUGGUUUGAUGUCUAGGGUGGCAGGAAGUACCUCCAACCUGUCAAACGCGUUGCAGUACAUGCAUUUUCCAGCAUAAGCGUGUCAGAGACGCGUCGGCAAUCACUCUUUUUCCUCUUCCAUUAUUUUGUCUCGUCUUGUGUGGGCCUCUGCUUACACCGACUGUUGAAUCACAGCUUUAACCGUCCCAUUUGUAGUUGAGGCCACGAAAUGCAUAUGAGAUGCUGGAUGUAAGAAACCAUGCAAGGAGUUCAAGAAUGACACCUGUAGAAGGGGACGCAGAGGAGAAAAUUCCAUCUCUGAAACACAUUCCAGAGUCCCUGAAAUCAGUAGGAAAAAGAAGAGUUGAUAUCAAAUGAUUUCUACGGUAAUGCUCUAAAGGAAUUCAAAGUUUUCAGACAAACCGUUCCAGGAACUUCAUGAAAGUAAUAUUUUCAAGCACUUCAUGCCUCUAUGGUAGCUCAUUCUUCUGCCCUUCAGCUGUAAACACCAUUCAUGGGUUCAAUGCUUGUAGUCAGAUCAUAUGGAAAUCAAUCGAAUGUAGGGGCAUGUGAAGUGAUGAAGACUACAUGAUGCAUCAUCAGGUCCACUGAAUACAAAUGUCCCCCACUUUUCGGACCAACAAUAUGAAUCAAACAAAACAUAUACACAUAUGUUGCCACCUGCUUAGUACACCCUACUUCCUACUUGAUUGUAGGAUGAAUCAUAAUUUGACACAGUGAGGUAAUGAACUGUGCAGACACUGAUGAUGGACUUCAACAACGUGGUAGAGAAAGAAUAGGAAAAAUUAGGCAAAACCAUAUAAGGUGGUAUUGUAUGUGAAUUGUGAAUGACAACAUUUUUAUUUUUAACAAGUUGAAUUUGGAAAUCAGAUAUCUUCGCAGCAAGACAAACAAGUGCCAGUGGAGCUUCUUGUACUUCUAGAGAAAAGUGGGAAGAUUAAACUCAUUAUUCCGGAGCUUCUUGUACUUCUGGACAAACGUAGGAAGGUUAAACUCUUCCCUGCAUGGCACCUCAGACUCCUCUGCCACUUAAUUAUAGCCUCUGGAAAAGAAUAACCCGGACUUAAAAUGAGCAUUACACAAUAAACAAAUGCAUAAAUGAGGUUUCAGCAAUACAGAUUUAUGCAAAUACUUGUAUUUAAAUAUAGGCAUAUCACUGCAUAUAUGAAUGGCAUUCAUGUGUAUUAAAUGGGCAGACUGUAGACAUAUUAUAAUGAUGUACAAGGAGGCGCACAAUGCUAUCAUGUGUAUCUGCAACCUUGUAAUGCACAUGCAACAGGAUGAAUAUGUAUCAUGCAGCUACCUAUCGCUUCUCCAACAUGGUCGAGUUGUACAAAUAUCUAUAUGAUGGAAAAUAAUGGCUACAAAUUGUUGGAUUUCAUGCUUUCUUAUGACUACAAGGAAAAUGAGUUCACUGUGCAACUCUCCAAGAGAGCUGAUGGCAAAUAUGUCAGGCAGGGUGUCUUCCUUUUGCUUCUCCAGUACAGCUAACUUCCCUUGGGCAGCAGCCAGCUAAGUUUGAACGAUUGUGCACUGUGAUUCCACAGAAACAGCCUAUGAUGGACCAUGAAAAUACAAAAUACUAGAGCCAUGUCAACAACAUGAAAAAAACAAUGAUAUAAAGGAAAAUCAGAAUUCAACUUCAGAAAUUCCAGCCCGCCAAACAACAGCAGCCUACGGUAUCUACGGAUGGAACCAAAAGUAUAGGAUUAUGUAGGAUGCAGCCUUUUUGCAGAAUUUUAAUUAUAGUGGAGAUUGGUGACAAUAAUUUAUUGAGAUACAUACAAUAAAUGGUUAGUUCACUCCUUUUGAACAUCUGGGAAGGAACAUCACUAAUGUGGUCUGCGACUGCUAGACACAUUGUUUUCGGUGAGUGGAAUUGUUGGUGGUGAUAUUAUUACUACAGUGUCAAUAAACAGGUUUGGGAAUUCGUCAAAAAGCUCACAUGAUCAUGUUAUCACGCAGGACAUGAUUCACUAUAGUUUCAGAUAUAAAAGAAAAGAUUACUAGAAUAAAUAUGGGAAAAACCGAUGACCAUGUUUCUUGGUAAGCUAUUACUAAAAUGAUAAAUGCAAUUAAUUCAUCUGCAGAAGGUAGAUUUUUUUUUCCCCUUUGGUGAAACAGAUCAAAUAACAUGUAAAGGACACUUGUAUGUUGCAAGGUAUCCCUUUGAAAAGAACCUACUUGUAUGCUGCAAAGGUAUCCCUUCGAAAUUAUCCCAUAGCCAAUGAAUAUGAUGCAACAUCAGUAAACGUUGAUAUGGCAUAUAUUUGCAAUAAAAGAAGCACCUUAAAAAAAGAAAAAAAUGACUCCUUUAAUGAAAAACUAAAAUAUUUCACAAGAGUUCAAAUAAAUUAAAGAAAUAUUAUUUUAAGUUCUUGUUCUGCAUAUGAACCUACACAGUAGCUCAAUGCUUUCUCAAUUAGCUUUUAUAAUGUACUAAAAUCUUGAAAUGCUUUCCGUUCAAGGGUCAAAUUUGGAAAAAAAAAAAAAACUAGUCAUUCCUCUAUGAAUGAGCUGAUCAAAUUUUAAAUUGUCAAUCGUGUUCUUGGCUAGAUUGAAAAAAUCUGAUAGAUCAAACAUAAUAAUUGAAUUAGGAACAAUGUCUGUCUCACUAGAUCGAGUCCAUCAAUUAUAAUAGUCAAAAAAUUUGAUGCUGGACAUCAAAAUUAAGAGUUCAAGUAUUGUAAUACAAUUAUAAACUUGUUCUACACCAGCAUAGAUCAUGGAUCUCAAUCAGAUGAUUAAGCCUCCAAAACUAUAUGAACCGUCAUCUUGGAUUCAAAGAAAUGGUAAGAAAGAGGAUAAAGGACAACCAUUAUCAAUGUGUCAAAUAUUUUGUUAAUGAACAAAAAAAAGCAUGAUAGCACCUUUGGGUCUGAAAAGUACGAAGAAAGCAUCUAGAACAUAGAAGAGAGGACUGGCCUAAGAUAUGCUCGGAAGGUAAAUAUCGGGAUGAAAUGAUAUUUAAAAAAGACAGCUGACAAAUAGAUCAGUCAAAUUGAAUCUGAACUGUGAUCUAUGGGAGUGCUAGUAAUUGAAAGCCAAGCUCAAGCAAAGAUUGGCUGGUAGGAAACUAAAACUCAACUCUAAAAGUUGAUUGGGCUCGUUUAUGCACUGUAACAACUAGCGAAAUGGAUUCUCUCGACAAAGUGGUUCCAACAAACCCACGCCUUACUGAUUAUUCAGGGGUGGGCGAAAGUGCUUAUGGGACCAUUCGAUAUUCAUGGACUUUCAAUCCUAUUCAGAUCUUGCAAGGGGUAGCUGGCAUGCGUGUAGGAAGGCUGACAACUACAUAUAUGUAUAUAUACAUAUGUAUAUAUAUACACACAUAUACAUAAAUACAUAUAUACAUAUAUAUACAUAUAUGUAUACAUAUACAUAUAUAAAUAUAUACACACAGAUAUAUAUACAUACAUAUAUAUAUAUAUAUAUAUAUAUAUAUAUAUAUAUAUAUAUAUAUAUAUAUAUAUAUAUAUAUAUAUAUAUAUGUGUGUGUGUGUNNNNNNNNNNNNNNNNNNNNNNNNNNNNNNNNNNNNNNNNNNNNNNNNNNNNNNNNNNNNNNNNNNNNNNNNNNNNNNNNNNNNNNNNNNNNNNNNNNNNNNNNNNNNNNNNNNNNNNNNNNNNNNNNNNNNNNNNNNNNNNNNNNNNNNNNNNNNNNNNNNNNNNNNNNNNNNNNNNNNNNNNNNNNNNNNNNNNNNNNNNNNNNNNNNNNNNNNNNNNNNNNNNNNNNNNNNNNNNNNNNNNNNNNNNNNNNNNNNNNNNNNNNNNNNNNNNNNNNNNNNNNNNNNNNNNNNNNNNNNNNNNNNNNNNNNNNNNNNNNNNNNNNNNNNNNNNNNNNNNNNNNNNNNNNNNNNNNNNNNNNNNNNNNNNNNNNNNNNNNNNNNNNNNNNNNNNNNNNNNNNNNNNNNNNNNNNNNNNNNNNNNNNNNNNNNNNNNNNNNNNNNNNNNNNNNNNNNNNNNNNNNNNNNNNNNNNNNNNNNNNNNNNNNNNNNNNNNNNNNNNNNNNNNNNNNNNNNNNNNNNNNNNNNNNNNNNNNNNNNNNNNNNNNNNNNNNNNNNNNNNNNNNNNNNNNNNNNNNNNNNNNNNNNNNNNNNNNNNNNNNNNNNNNNNNNNNNNNNNNNNNNNNNNNNNNNNNNNNNNNNNNNNNNNNNNNNNNNNNNNNNNNNNNNNNNNNNNNNNNNNNNNNNNNNNNNNNNNNNNNNNNNNNNNNNNNNNNNNNNNNNNNNNNNNNNNNNNNNNNNNNNNNNNNNNNNNNNNNNNNNNNNNNNNNNNNNNNNNNNNNNNNNNNNNNNNNNNNNNNNNNNNNNNNNNNNNNNNNNNNNNNNNNNNNNNNNNNNNNNNNNNNNNNNNNNNNNNNNNNNNNNNNNNNNNNNNNNNNNNNNNNNNNNNNNNNNNNNNNNNNNNNNNNNNNNNNNNNNNNNNNNNNNNNNNNNNNNNNNNNNNNNNNNNNNNNNNNNNNNNNNNNNNNNNNNNNNNNNNNNNNNNNNNNNNNNNNNNNNNNNNNNNNNNNNNNNNNNNNNNNNNNNNNNNNNNNNNNNNNNNNNNNNNNNNNNNNNNNNNNNNNNNNNNNNNNNNNNNNNNNNNNNNNNNNNNNNNNNNNNNNNNAUAUAUAUAUAUAUAUAUAUAUAUAUAUAUAUAUAUAUAUAUAUGUGUGUGUGUGUGUGUAAUAAAGACAUAUUGAUGGAGAACCACCUAGUUUUAUAAAGAAUUUAAGAAAAAUUUAUUCUAAGUAAAAAAAUCAACAAAAAAUCAUCAAUUAAUUGACCUAGAAAUUCUAAGAGCUGUGUGAAAAUAAAAAAAUCUUUUGGUCUUUCUAGGAACUCCUUUUGUAUUAAGUGCACUCAUUUCCUAUUUAGGUAUUCUAGAAAUCACAUUUUGGAUUUCUAAAAAGUAUACUAAUUCCCUAUGAGAAUACUUUGGGAAUCAUUGUCAUUAUUAAUUCUACCAAGACUCCUAAUCCCCUAUAAAUACUGGAGGUUGUCAAUGGAUCAAAUACUUCAUAUUUGAAUGAAAAUGAAUUGCAUCUUCUCUUUUCUAGUCUCUUUCUCUAAUCUCUAAUCUGACUCCUCUCUUUCUCUCUAAUAUGAUUCCUCUCUUUCUUUCGUCUUUAAUCUCUUAUCUCACACUUCUUUCUUUCUCUUCGCCUCUCUUUCCUACUCUGUUCUACAUCACAUACUCAAACCUGAGCCAUGAUCAUUCUCAUCUUGAGAAAUUUGAGUAAAUCCUGCAAAUUAAGUACUACAUUCAACUGCCCCACAGGGAGUAUGACUCUUUCAUGUUGGUCUUGGAGCAUUAAAAUUCAGGAGUUUUAGUGAGACAGUCCAAAUUAGUUGAAUCGGGAAGGCUAAAUCUAGAACUUAACUAAACCCAGAUGAAAAGCCAGAUGACAAGGAUCACACCUAAAUAACAAUGGGGGAGAUCAUCCAUCAGCAAGAUACAGCUGAAGUGAAAAAAUAGCAAGUACAUAAGCACCCUUGAAAUGUGUUAGAUAAAACUACGCAUCUCCAAGUAGGUAACUGCUAACAACCUCUUGGAAGAUAUAUACAACUGAAGAUUACCAUACAUGAGUUUGGAUCCCAAUAUCGAUGAUAUUGUGGACUGGAAAGCAAACCACAAUCAAAAUUCCAAGAAAGGUGGUGUGGUCCUGGUAAGUAUGGUUGUAACACAUAAGCACAAAAUUUUCAUGCUCACAAUGAUUCCCAAUCCAAAGGAUAUCUCAUUUAACUGAUAAAUACCAACUCAUGGCUCAUCAGUUGUUACACUGUUGGUGCAAAUAAAUAAACAAAUGAAUAAUCUUUUAUCAUAAUGAAAUAGUCAAAGGUUGACAAAUGUGUGAAUCCUUGUACUUGAUCAACUAUGUACCAACACAUCAAUACAGGCAUAGAAUGCGAGGAUUAAGGAAACGUACUUAAAACCGACAAGUGAUCUGCAACUUGGUACCUCAUUUAACUAAAAGGGCUCUUAUUACGGUUGAGCACAUAACCUACAAAUAAAACAUACUAUUACAGACUUAAAAAACUCCAACGCAGACCAGAGAAGAAAUCAUAAACAAAACAUGAAGAAGCAGAGUGAUGCAAGUUUCCGAUCUAAAUAUCGAGAUUUGCCCAAAAGAAGUAAUCAUCCCAGCUUAUCAUUGCAGGUGUAGUUAUCUACAAAAAAGCAUGGAGAUCAAAAAGAAAAGUCUCCUAAACCCGGCAUCAAACAAUAAACUGAGGCAUAAAGCGAAUUCGAUAAGCCAGGAAAUAAAGACCUAAUAAUCCGAACUAGCACCAUCUUCGAUAGAUGAAAAAUUAGAACAGAAAAGUAAAGAUUAAACCCCUAAAAAUUCAAUACUACCAAGAAGAUGAUAAUAUGGUAUCCCAAACAAAUUCGACUGCAGACCGAACCAACCGAUCAAUCCAACAAACAGAGCAACGAUGAGAUACCUAGCAAAAGGCAAAAUUAGGGACCGAGGGAUCGAAAUCUGAGGAAAUAAUUCCUACAAAUGUCGACCUGUUGGUGAGAGAUCGACCCGAAGAGGAGACUCGCGACUGGGGGAGACCAAUUUGUCGAUGCAAGGCAGGGAGAAAGAAGGGGACGAGGAGAGGCAGAGGCCGCGGAGUUCGAGGCUUCGAGCGGGGCGCCAAUUUAUAGUGUAGUGUUUUUACAAAUCUAUCCUUGUAUUUCAAAAAUAACUAUUUUUGUCCCUCUUAAAAUAUAUAAAAUUAUAAAAUACCUAUAUAUAUAUAUAUUCGAAUAUUCUAAACUAAUAUUUAGAGGAAUGUGUAUGUAAAUUACUGAUUUUCGAGGAAUAUAUAUAUAUAUAUAUAUAUAUAUAUAUAUAUAUAUAUUUAUAUUUAUAUUAUAUGAAUCGAGAUUUCGUGACGAAGAUUUUAUUUGAUUUGGUUCGACUAGAUGUUGCUUGGGUCGAAAAAAAUUGAUUUUGGCUUACAGAGAUAAUCUCUUAUGAAUCGAACGAAAAUUAAAGAUCGUAAGCUCGGUUCGGUUCAUCUAAAUUUACGAUAUAUUUCAUCUCUAUUAUGUUACAAUGACCUUGGAAAAUGAAAUGUCAAGUGUUAUGCUGAAUCUACUAACGAAAAUUAAAAAUAUGAUAAUUAUAUUUAGUUAUUUAUUUAAUAAUUACAUGAGCUAAUUUUACUGCCAUCUUUGAAGUAAGUUUCCUCCGAGCAAGAAGGGAGUAUGAUCCGAACUCCGAAGCUCAUUAAAAUCUAACAAUAAUCUUAUUAUAUUGAGGGUACAUUUUGGUUGCAUGGUUGUAACAUGUACUAUAUAUUAUACUAUGUUACCAACAAGAAAGAGUUGAACUUGUAAAAAGCAAAUCAUCAAAUAAAAAUAUUAAGGGAUUCUGAAUCUCUUGGAAUCAAACUUGAAAUUGUGUUAUUUAUAUAUUGUUUUUAUUUUUUUCAUAUAAUAGUUUCUACUAUGCAAUAUAACGAUUGCUAAUACAUUUGCAAGCAAUGAAUUAUGAUUUCUCCCUUCAUAGGACUUCAUACCAUACAAUGCAUAAGCUUAGUUAAACUAAUCAUCAUAUAUAACUUGAAUCAAAUUGGAUUUUAGAUGGGUUCGGAUCAGAUUCAAUUUAGUAACAACCAUAUUCCUUACAUUGCAUUGAUAAUUGGCAUCCAUAAAGACCCAAAAAAAUUGUAUGCAAAAUGUUUCUAAAUAGACCAAAAUCAAUGAAAUGAAUAUUUAAUUAAAUUAGAUCAUAUUUUCUUCUCAUGAGUGUUAUGUGCACAGUUGGUAUCGUGUCAAUUUGAUGAAAAUACGAAGCAUAGCCGAAUUCUAAUUGCAAGGAUAGACUUACCUUUAUUAUGGAAUGCAGGGCUUAAUUAUAAGGGAUUAAGCUUGUCUUCUUAGUAUACGAGAGAGAGAGAGAGAGAGAGAGAGAGUAUGCAUUACACAUAUGGGAUUCAGUCAAGGCAUAGAGUUGCGAGAAUCAUUUUGAAGAGGGCAAUCACGAUGAGAUCUCGCUUGUCUUGUGAACCCUUCUCUUCUUUGCAAGACUGUGGUCAUCCUUUUGCUGAUCUCUCCACCUGAACAGCUGCUCCAUCUCUUCAGUUCCCACCACGAUCAGUUCCGGCUCCGACGACCAGUGUCUCCUUUUGCAUGGUGCCGACCUCCUCGUCUUCUUCGGCGCAGGCGGGCAGAUCCGCGGGAAGACCGGCAGCCUACUCUCUUCAGACGUCGGUGUGUGGCAUUCCUUGUCGUCCUCGCCGCCCUCCAUCGAAGCGUCAGUCGAAACAGGAGUUAGCUUUGGGGAGGCCAACUGAACCCUAAGGUUUACUAAAGAAGGUGGAGCUCUUGUGAAGGAUGUUGUUGGUUGGUGUCCGUUGGCCUUCUUAUCUCUUCCACUCAUUCCAAGCUGAUGUCCUCAAAACUUUUACUUUCUCAAAGGUUUCCUUUAGGAUGUCUUUAUCUUCUACUCUCUCUUUUUCUGCUUGUCAUCAUCUACCAACCGACCUUCACCUGAGAAGCAUGCAGCACACAAUAACCAGGUUGGGAAUGGGCACUUCAGGUAGAGCUUCAGAGAGCACGAAAAGUUAGAGUACUCCUAGAACAUGUUGUUUUCUCCGACAGGUUUCAUAGGAUACCUUGCGGAUCAUGAGCCAGCAUAUCCCUCGAGGGUAGGGAAAUUAGUACUCACAGGUAAUCGAGUGGAGAAAGAGGACCACCCUGUUUCUGCGUCUUCGGCCUUCCAUGGAAGGGAACGCAUCCAUGCACGUGGAGUUGGCGAGCUCUGCCAAAGGGUGUCAGCAAAGCAAUGGCGACUUCUGCAGUGGGUUGUCAGGGAAGUGUCUUCCCUGACAUGAUUAACAAAUCAUUCGUAGCUGCUGAGCUUUUUGGUGCUGUCAUGGAUGUCACUGAAACGCUUGGUUUCUCGCAUUGCAUUUGGCUGAUUUGAUCUCUUCAUGCACCAUGCAUGUUGUACAAUUGGAAAACAAAGAUAAAGAGUUUACUGAUAAUAAUUUAUAUUGAUCCUAUUGAUCCCAAAAUUUAGCUAUUAGAAGGAGAUCCAAUGUAUCUUAAACUCCAUCACACCUCUCAUACCAACUAGAGAAAAAGACAUACAUAUAGGAUUCGAUACAAAAGACUACAUAAGAACACUACUGAUCUCAAUAAUGGUAUUUCACAAUAGACUCGUGACUCAGGACAGGGAAACCAGGUAGGGCAAGUCAACGUCAACGGGUUUUGGAUGGAUGACUAUGAGCGGCGGGUCAACUUCCUGGAGUCGACGAAGUUCUUGCGCUGGGGCUCGCAGGAGGACAUGUAGUCCAGGAAAGCGGCGAAAUCCGUGUCCACGUACAUCCUGGGGUUCCCUUCGUUGACGAGCUCCGGCGACGGCCGUACGACUCUGUCGAACGGGAGGCUGUGGAGGGAGGCCACGGACAACCGCGACCUGGAGGAGUUGACCAACACCCGGUGCAGCACGCUACUGUAUCUUCCAUUGCUAAAUAUCUGAAAUAUCAUCGAUUUGAUGCAUCCAGAUUCCUAUUAGGUUCAUUCAUCCUUUUGAUUGGUACAGAUACAUAUAAUUGUUGAAUUGAAAAGUGUUUUAUAAUUUUUAGAGUCAAUAUCUCAAGAGUACAAGGAAUCAUAGUAAAUAUGAGAGAAUACGAUCUAACUUUCUGUGAGGGAAAAAGAAGAUAUGAGUAAUACUUUGGGUGCUAUCAUGUUUCUAAUAAAUAUGAAAGAAAAUGUUUAAAUUCUUUGUGGUUAAUUUAUUGAUAUCUGAAUUCUUUUUAUUUUAAAUCUUUCUCUCUUUUCCAAAAAUAACAUACUAAAACAUUUUGGAUUCUCUCCAUCUGUCAUGUGUUAGAGCGAUUCUGAAUUAUAUAUAUAUAUAUAUANNNNNNNNNNNNNNNNNNNNNNNNNNNNNNNNNNNNNNNNNNNNNNNNNNNNNNNNNNNNNNNNNNNNNNNNNNNNNNNNNNNNNNNNNNNNNNNNNNNNNNNNNNNNNNNNNNNNNNNNNNNNNNNNNNNNNNNNNNNNNNNNNNNNNNNNNNNNNNNNNNNNNNNNNNNNNNNNNNNNNNNNNNNNNNNNNNNNNNNNNNNNNNNNNNNNNNNNNNNNNNNNNNNNNNNNNNNNNNNNNNNNNNNNNNNNNNNNNNNNNNNNNNNNNNNNNNNNNNNNNNNNNNNNNNNNNNNNNNNNNNNNNNNNNNNNNNNNNNNNNNNNNNNNNNNNNNNNNNNNNNNNNNNNNNNNNNNNNNNNNNNNNNNNNNNNNNNNNNNNNNNNNNNNNNNNNNNNNNNNNNNNNNNNNNNNNNNNNNNNNNNNNNNNNNNNNNNNNNNNNNNNNNNNNNNNNNNNNNNNNNNNNNNNNNNNNNNNNNNNNNNNNNNNNNNNNNNNNNNNNNNNNNNNNNNNNNNNNNNNNNNNNNNNNNNNNNNNNNNNNNNNNNNNNNNNNNNNNNNNNNNNNNNNNNNNNNNNNNNNNNNNNNNNNNNNNNNNNNNNNNNNNNNNNNNNNNNNNNNNNNNNNNNNNNNNNNNNNNNNNNNNNNNNNNNNNNNNNNNNNNNNNNNNNNNNNNNNNNNNNNNNNNNNNNNNNNNNNNNNNNNNNNNNNNNNNNNNNNNNNNNNNNNNNNNNNNNNNNNNNNNNNNNNNNNNNNNNNNNNNNNNNNNNNNNNNNNNNNNNNNNNNNNNNNNNNNNNNNNNNNNNNNNNNNNNNNNNNNNNNNNNNNNNNNNNNNNNNNNNNNNNNNNNNNNNNNNNNNNNNNNNNNNNNNNNNNNNNNNNNNNNNNNNNNNNNNNNNNNNNNNNNNNNNNNNNNNNNNNNNNNNNNNNNNNNNNNNNNNNNNNNNNNNNNNNNNNNNNNNNNNNNNNNNNNNNNNNNNNNNNNNNNNNNNNNNNNNNNNNNNNNNNNNNNNNNNNNNNNNNNNNNNNNNNNNNNNNNNNNNNNNNNNNNNNNNNNNNNNNNNNNNNNNNNNNNNNNNNNNNNNNNNNNNNNNNNNNNNNNNNNNNNNNNNNNNNNNNNNNNNNNNNNNNNNNNNNNNNNNNNNNNNNNNNNNNNNNNNNNNNNNNNNNNNNNNNNNNNNNNNNNNNNNNNNNNNNNNNNNNNNNNNNNNNNNNNNNNNNNNNNNNNNNNNNNNNNNNNNNNNNNNNNNNNNNNNNNNNNNNNNNNNNNNNNNNNNNNNNNNNNNNNNNNNNNNNNNNNNNNNNNNNNNNNNNNNNNNNNNNNNNNNNNNNNNNNNNNNNNNNNNNNNNNNNNNNNNNNNNNNNNNNNNNNNNNNNNNNNNNNNNNNNNNNNNNNNNNNNNNNNNNNNNNNNNNNNNNNAGACCUACGUAAAUGCAUGGGAGCAUGCAGCUUCCUCAUUGUUUGGCAAACUGAUGCAACAGGUGGUUCAGUUUGAGCUGAGACCUCGGCAAGAUGCGAUAGAUUUUGGUUGCGUACUGACCUCAAGGUGAUCGCCGACGUUGACGACAAAGGCGUUCGGAACGGGCUCGACGGUGAUCCAUUCGUCGCGGUGCAGCACCUGGAGGCCCUCGACCUCGUCCUGGAGGACGAACGUGAGGAAGCCGUAGUCGGAGUGGGCCGGCAUCCCGAGGGUAAGAUCAGGCUGAGGGCACGCUGGGUAGCAAUUCAGCACCAUGAGUUGGGAUCCGGCGUCGAACUCGUCGAGAGCGGAGGUUCCCACACCGAGGCUCUCGAGGACGGCCGCCAUGACGACCAAGAACAAGGACUUGACGUGCUUGGCAUAUGAAGCUGCUUCCUCCCUGUAAGAGCAGUGACACGGCAUUAGUAGCUGCAUGCCAUUAAUACAAAUGAGGAUAUAUAUGUUCUCGUCACCUCAAAUCCGUGGGAGAAGAAGGCCAGUGUGGAAGAACAGUGUCGUGAGGAUGGCAGCUCAGCUUCAAGAAGUCCCUCCAACAGAACACUCGAUCCUUGGUCUGGUUGAAGCUGGUCCCGUACCUCACUGCGCUCCUCACGUCGGUCGUCAUGUACCUCUCUCUCUCCUCGAACGGAAGCUCGAAGAAUCUCUUCCCGACGUCGAUCAUUCUCCGAAUAGCCUCACCAUCUACGUCAUGAUUCACCACCUACAGCAAAAGACCAUGUAGAUCAUUACAUCUACGUGUCAACCUACAGAAUGAACCCUUCACGAGUGCAGUUAACGCACCUGGAAGAAGCCAUACUCCUUGCAAGCUCUGUCUAAUGUCUCGAGGACGCUGGCGCGGUCGGGCGAAAGCAGCUGGCCGAUGUCGACGACGGGAAGCUGGAGAUUGGGUUUACGAACGGCCGGCGCGAGCUGGGGCCGAUCGGAGAGGGGCAAGACGUACCUGGGAGGGAUCCUUGUGAUGCCAUUUUCACAGAGGUACCUCACUCCCUUCAUGGCUCUGUUCUCCACCGUUACGUCCAUUGGCACUGCCUUGGCUCAACGGAGUUAAGUCGAUAAAGUGGAGAAAUGUGUUGAAGGGAUGGGGAAGACGGUGAAGUACUUGUGAGGUUUAUAUACACAAGGCAGAAGGCUUGCGUUGGAGGUCGGCAGACUGCAUGUCCAUUGACUCGAUGGUUGGUAAUGGUGGCCGACAACCGGCGAUCUGGAAAGUCUUCAGCUGAAUGGGCGAUGGCGCCUGCAAUUUGAUCUCUUCAAAUCUCAAUGAGAGAGAGAGAAAGAGAGCUUUCGAGGAAAAAGCAAGCAUGAGACAAAACCCUACAACUCAGCUGGUUCAGAUACAGAACAAAAUGUCUAACAGAUGGUUCUAAUUUAGAGAAACUAUGGAACCUAAUAAAAUUAUAAUUACAUAAUUAUCAUCAUAAAGAUAGUUUUUAUUUUUGUUCGUAAUUAAUAUGAUAAAUAUUUCAAGUCAAUUAAAAAACUCGAUAUGCGUAGUCAAAUCACAUGAGCUAAAAGAAGAAUAUAAAGUUUUAUUCUUAUUUCUUCCGUUGGUUGUCGUUGACUCGAGAAUAUUCAGAUGAUUUUAUAUGUGAUAUUUUGAAAAACACUUUUGACCUUUUUUUUUUUUUUGAAUUGAUUAGAUCUACGAUGGAUUGGAAUAAAAUCUUCCAAAUAAUAUAAUAUUGGAUGCUUAUGUGCCUCAACAUCUUUACGCCGUGGCCUCGGGACUAAUACGAUUGGGUUUGGAUCUGAAUGAUUGGAGAUAUUCCUGAACGACCCUUGAGACUGCUGAGGUAGCCGAUCGUAACGAGGUCAUUGUUUUCUCCGGAAGGGGACCCCUUGUCUGGGCCUUCGGUGGGAGGCACUCCGUCUUCAUCCUUGUACACAGGUUGGGUCGGGAGAGCUCGGCCCGACCCCUCCAAUGAUCAAGUCAGUCGAUAGUCUCAAGAGGUUUUUCUUAUUUUUCUCCCGCCCUCUUCGUUCCGAACAUGAGGGUUUUUAUAGGGAAGGUCACUGUUUCCUGAUGUGCCCGCUUGCAGGGAGCAAGGUCAUACCUUGGAUAACGUCUGACACCGGCAUUGGCGUUGCGUGAAGGACCGGGCUCCUGCAGGAUGAUGAUGUGCCUCGAUCGACGUUUUGAUCUGCUUCGGCCAGAUGCUGUCAGGUCAGACCGAGGCAGACGACCCCUGCAACUCUUCGAUCUGCGUAACCUAGGAGACGUCACCCGGGAGCAAAUGAGUGUUCCAUCAUUAUUAUUAUUACCCUUUAUCACCUCUCAGCUUGUCUUUUUUUUUCUUUAAAUAGAUGCAGCCAAGUCACCAAGGAUGUCCUCAAAACUUUUACUUUCUCAAAGGUUUCCUUUAGGAUGUCUUUUAUCUUCUACUCUCUCUGUUUCUGCUUGUCAUCAUCUACCAACCGACCUUCACCUGAGAAGCAUGCAGCACACAAUAACCAGGUUGGGAAUGGGCACUUCAGGUAGAGCUUCAUAGAGCAUGAAAAGUUAAUAGUACUCCUAGAACAUGUUAUUUUCUCCGACUUUUAAAUUCCAAGCUGAUGUGAGUACUAAUUUCCCUUCCAUGGAAGGCCGAAGACGCAGAAACAGGGUGGUCCUCUUUCUCCAUUCGAUUACCUGUGAGUACUAAUUUCCCUACCCGCUCAUGAUCCGCAAGGUAUCCUAUGAAUCCUGUAGGAGAAAAUAACAUAUGUUCUAGGAGUCCUCUAACUUUUCAUGCUCUCUGAAGGUCUACCUGAAGUGCCCAUUCCCAACCUGGUUAUUGUGUGCUGCAUGCUUCUCAGGUGAAGGUCGGUUGGUAGAUGAUGACAAGCAGAAAAAGAGAGAGUAGAAGAUAAAGACAUCCUAAGUUUUGAGGACAUCAACUUGGAAUUUUGAAUACAAGUUUAAUGACUUUGAAACUCAUGCUAAUAUUAAUUAAUACCCCUCCAAACACAUUAUAAUUAUAAAUAAAUUAACUAACUGAUGGAAGUAAUAUUUGAUGUUUGAGUUUCUUGGAAUCUUGAUUUAUUUUAAAUUCACAAACCAUGAUAUAUAAACUGCUUAAACAUUUGAUGAUUUAAAUUUUGGAAGAGAUAUACAAACAAUGUGAAUGCUGAGUCAACUGGAUGAGUUCCAUGAUUCAACCAAUCAACUUUCCAUAAUGUCAGCCAAGAUAAAUUUUUGAUUAGGUGCAAAAGUUAGACCGUUGAUUGCUGAUGGAAAUCCUACUCAUUGAAAGAUUAUCCAUCUCAUUUGUGUUCUUUCUUGUAAAUACAUUCUUAAUGGGAUCGGAUUCAUAUACAUAUCCCUCAAAAUGUUAGCUAUUACCAUAUUGCCUCGAACACUUAAUAUAAACCAACCCCAAAAGUAAUGAUUUUUUGUCAUUUUGAACCAAUUGAAUUAUAUGUUACUGAUCACUGCGUAGAACACACUCCAGAAACACCAUCUACAAUCCCUGUCGACGCAUGGUAGAAUGCCCCAGAACGAAGAUUGACAUGGUUAGGGUUAGUGUUAGGGUUUACAUGAACUCAGCCUGCAGCCACCACCAAGUCAGUAAUAGAAGCAACUCCACCAUCAACCUCAAGAACACAAGGUUGCACGAGGAGGAGGAGGAGGAGGAGGCACUCUGCUGCUUCGUGGCUUUGUUACCAGUUAUGAUCCAACAUACAAGAAUUUAAUCUACAUCAGCUCCACAAAUGAGAAACAGGAAGUACAAGUCAAAGUCGAAUCUACAAAUCAGAAACUUCUGAGGUCAACAUGAUUUAUUCGCACUAUUUUCUGUGUUCCUAUUUCUUCCUAACAAGACAAUACCUCCGGUCAACAUUUGCUACAUUUCCUUCUCCCUCUUUGUUUGUUUUACUCAACGAACAUGGAUGAUCAUGCACUUAACUCCUUAAUCAUUUAUUAUUAUGACAUCUAAAAUAUUGAUUUAAUAGUGGUAUAUCGUACCUAUCUAUCAAGAAUUAGAGGAUUCAAUAUCUCAUCUAAUAAUUUUUUUUUAUGAUAUAUUAUUUUUUAGGUGUACUAUACCAACUUAGUUAUCAAAGAUUGAGAGACUAAUAUCUAAUCAGACAAAUUUCUUGAUGAGGGUAGCUAAUCUACUGUAAUUUGAUUGCAACAAAUAAAAAGGCAUUAAUAUUAUUCAAAGUUAUUAUUUAGUAUUCUACUGUAUUUUUUCUUUAUUUUUUUGGAAUGACAUACUCUUUUCAAAAUUUCCAUUGGGUUCUUAUUAUUUUCUAAUACCUUAAAUGUUCAUCUUCUUUUUUCCAACAAAAUAGUUUCAAUCCAUACUAUAUGGACUGAUUCAUAGGAUGAGUUAGUCUAACUCGAUGACUCAAUCUAUAUAUUAUAAUAAUUUUAAUUUUGGAAAUGAACCAGACUUUACUCCUUUACAAAAUAUCUUAUGAACUACUCCAUCAAAUGUGAAUGGAAACUAUUUUAUUAGAGAAAAAUAAGAGCGUCAAAAAAUCUGAAAAAAAAAUAAAAAUCGUUAUUUUUUCUCUAUUCUCUAUCAAGUAUGGAUCAUUUACAAAAAUAAAUGGCAUCUUAAUAAUUAAUAUACGACAUAACCUUUAAUAACGUUUGAUUUCAUCCCAUGACGCAACAUUGGACCGGACAGACCCUUCACAAGCGGACCGGACGAAGCGCCGCUUCUUAUUGACUCGAGGCAGAGACCAACAGAAGAUUUGAUAUGGCAUUGUGUGGGGGCCGCGCGGACGCGUUCCCCCGAUACCACAAAUUACGACGCCCACUCUCCCACUUGGGGAGAUGGUAGAGCAGCUCAACCCCCCACGUGCAAUGGGGGCCGCUGCCCUAGGCCACGUGCCUUCUUGAUCACCCGUCGACCCCGUCCAGGUAAGUAUCGUUCUAAGUUUGCCGGAAGCCCUCUCUUAUGCUUCUCCCUUAUCCCUCUGUCUUCGUGCCUUGCCGAUGUGGGACUAAAUUUCUGCCUACGUGUUUGAUUUCAAGCUACAUUACCGCAGUUAGCAUUGGCAUUGGAAGAGUUAAUACUCGUUUUGAUUGUUAUAUUUGAUUGAUUGAUUCAUUUAAUUUGUUUUGUUAUGGUUGUUUUUAUUUUGCCAAGACAGUUACGAAUUGUUUUAAAAAACAAAACAACACAAUAAAAGCAGUUCCUUUUUUUUUGUUUUUGAAAAUAGGGAGAAGAAGACACAUAAAGCGAGGGAGAGAGAGAGAGAGAGCAAUCGGGUCGAAUCCCGGAGAUGGAGGUUUACUGGGUGAUGCGGCGUUGGUCGCCCGCGAGAUCCCUCGGCCUUCUUAUAGCCGGCGUGCGUCCCCCUCGGCCCCGACCUUACAUGGCGAUUCGCUCAGGUCCUCCUUUUUAUCGACGUCUUAUUCGGAUUCCAUUCUUUCUGCCCAAUUAGUGCUCACACCGUGAAGCCGAUGACGGCGACUGAGGCGAGACUCUGGUUCUCCUUGUGCAGAGUCUUUCUGUGAUCGGAGGCGGCGGAGGGCGUACGACGGGCUGCUGCUGGACGCCGGCGGCACGCUUCUCCAGCUGGCGAACCCCGUCGAGGAGACCUACGCCUCAAUUGGGAGAAAAUAUGGUGAUCAAUUUGUAUUGUCUCACAGGAAAAGAAAUGGCCUUUGCUGCUGAAAAUCAAGUUUUUAUGAAUUUUGUUCGUUAUAUGAAUCCUCUAUAUAUCUAGGACUGCUUGCGACUGAGAAGGACAUAAAGCAAGGUUUCAGGAGGGCUUUUGCCGCUCCAUGGCCGGAGAAGCUUCGCUACCAGGUUUUUGCAAUUUGUUGUAUUGCACAGUUUAGUGACCCUAAUUGUACGUUUAUCAAGUGAGAUAGAAAUGUGAGGGAAAGAAAAAACUUUUGGGGCAUUGUCCAAUUUAAAGAGAAGUUCUGCUUUUACUCAAAUGCAGGGUGACGGGCGGGCAUUCUGGAGGCUGGUUGUAUCCGUAGCCACCGGUUGCAGUGAUAAUGACUAUUUCGAAGAAGUAUAUGAGGUAAGGCGCGGUAAGGUUCUAAAUUUAUUAUGACCCUUUUCAAGGUUUACUCUUUGAUCGCAGAUAAAUGCAGCAGUGUUAUUGGAAGAAAUAUAAUGGUUUGUGUAGAGAAAUAGUAGUAGGAUUGCUGAUGAUGAUCUUGAAGUCUCAACCUCAAUUGAUUUCAGUUCUUUAGGGUUAACUUUGUAUUUGUGUCUUUUGGUAACCAUAUGAAAUUAUCUACAGUGACCUUUAAUGUUUUAUCUUUAAGUACAAAUUUAAAUUUUGUAGACUAUUUAUAUGUAUGAGAACAAGAAUCAAUUAUACAGAAUAGCAAAUUUAGUAGGAUGACACUAUGCCUUAACCUAAUUGGAUGUAUGUAACAAAAAUGAAACUUACUGACUUGAAUCACUUUAAUGAUAUCAUACAUUUCAUUUGGGAAAUAAGGUCACUAAUAUUGAGGGUCUCCUCUAUGUGAAUUAUUUAAUUCUGUAAUCAUAGAGGUUUUGGACACCAUAAGAAAUAAGGAGUUUGUUUUGCUCUAUCUGGCCAUCUCUAAUCAUCUUUGAUGUUUUUACUAAAAAACCAACUGAAAGCAAAUCAAGCAAACCUUAUUAUUAACAUUCAUGCUAAGUAAAGCUUGUCCAAUUCUAGAAAGGUGUUCUUUUGCUAUUGUUGUCAGGUUCACUAUUUUAAAGUAUGCUUCUGUUCCGGGAUGUUCUUACUGGUAGGUUGAUUCAUAUGCAUAUCUAUGGUUUAGUGAUUGAAGAGGCAUUUAAUUAAACGUCACCUGUUAUCCAAUGGUACAAGUUUUUUUAUGUAAUAUCAUGGUUAUGUCUUUCAUCUUCUCCAUUUAUCUUGAAAUAAGCCCAGAUCAUUGUCAUGCCACAGGAAGUAGUCAAUUUGUUUUAAUUAGCUAUACAUCUUCUCUGCCAGCAUUUUGCAAAUGGUGAUGCAUGGCACCUACCUGCUGGGGCAUAUGAAGAAAUGUGUUUGUUGAAAGAUGCCGGAGGUCAUAUAAGCCAAGUAUUCCCACCAUUUUUCAUCAUCUUAUCCCCAAACAUUUCAUUUUAGUGUUUCCUUACCAUUAGCAUAUUGCAUACAGUUAAGCUGGCUGUUGUCUCUAAUUUUGACACCCGCUUGCGCAAACUGCUGAAGGACCUCAAUGUUGCACAUCUGUAAGUGAUAAAUCCAAUUCCCACUUUUUGUUGGUCUCAUGAAUUUUUCUUCUGCGGUAUGAAGCAUACUUUAAUUCAUAUCACUUGCUUUUCCUGUUCAUGGGUUGUAUAUGAUACCAAUAAGGGUCAUGUACAACCUGGAUACUUCAUGUAAUUUUCAAGUUUUGAUUGUGAAAGAAUUUAAUAUUUCAAAUACCAUCACGUUUCUUCCCAGAUUUUCUUUGUAGAGCUGAUCUUUUGUAAGUUUUGAAAUUUCAAAUGAUGAGCAAGAUGGCCCAUUGUCAUUGCGUGGGGUUUUCUGUUAUAGCCAAGAUAUGCAUGAUGCCAAGAAAACUUCUUUUAUUUGGAAUUAUCUUGCAUUUGAGACCUCGGUGGCUGGAAAACUAGACAGCCUACCCAUUUGCAACGAGUGAUCCAGCGAUCCUGAAGCACAAACACCUAGGGAUCAUGGUUCCUAAAAUCCGACCCAAUCUCACUAGUCACUACAAUGGCCUCAAAAAAGAAAAGGGGCAGUGGCUGCAAGAGACUAACGUAGCUGCCACAUGCCUUCCACAAAACAAUAUGAAGAUGAGAAGAGGAGGAGGAUUAUCCACCAGACCUCUGUCUCACCACACUGCCAUUGUGACAUUGGCUUCAUGCCUCUGCUGUUGCACUAUCAGGGGAUCAAGGAUGAGCCAAACCAUAGGAGCAAAUAUGAGAAGGGAGAUGAACUCCUGUGCUUUACUGGACUAAGAUCCUUGAUGCCAUCAAUUCACAAGUAAAAAAACAAAAAAAAGGAGAAGACAAGAAAAGAGGAGAGGAGAUGAGAAGGAUAACAUUAGAAAACAGAAAAGAGAGUAUGCGAGAAGAUAAGAAAGAAAUAACAAGAGAAGAGAAGAACGUAAAGAGAAAAAAUAAGAAAAGAAAAAAUAAAGGAGGAGAUUUAUUUCUAAAAAUAAUUCUAGUUAUAAUUGUUAUUUUUGAAUGAUAUAUUUUUAAUAUUUAUAAAAAUUAUAUAAUUUUAAUAUGCAGACAUUUCCCAAGCACUUCAUGCCUUUGUAUUUUUAGACCUUGUCUCUUCUCUAAAUCCACCUGCAUCUACUCCUUUAUGUCUUUGGUACUCUUUUUAUGAAUUUGCAUUACUCAAACAAAUACGUCAACAGUUAAGCAUCUGGUUAGUACAGUUUCUUUAUUUGAUGAGACUUUAGAUUCCUAAAGAUCCAAGUAUAUGCUACCAUACCUGAGCAGAGCUUUUUGCAUAGUUUGUG
rnacentral:lncRNA from 1 species